GCAAUAUAGGCCAUAGAAAAGGAAAUGAGUUGAGCAAUCUAUACAGAUGCAACUGCCCCCACCUGUGGAUCAGCUGCAAGAUAGGGCAUCUACACCUGGAGAAAUUGGACACUUGGAGAAGUUGAAUUUUCUGACUUUCAGGUAAAAUGGAAGCUGAAAGGGGAAAUAAUGGGUUUUUUUAAAUCAUGAGAUUAUGCAGAUGCCCCAUAAAAAGUAAAUGCCCUGUGUGAAAGCAUGUCAGUUUGCAUUUCUUGGUACGGAAAGUAUUGAUCUGAUGUGUAGAGAUCUUUCCUAUUCUAAUUAAUUCAAGAAGAUUCUGGAAGCUUAUCUGUGUGAAAGAAACUGGUGCAAGCUGGGAGUUUCUAGCUGACACUUAAGUUUCUAUUCUGCCUAGAAAUGGGCAGAAGGUUCAUUAUGUUUGGGUUAUUCCUUCAGAGAAGCUGAGUACAGCUGGCUUACACUGGUCCUGUUAUCUCUUUCUGUCAACGUCAUGCUGACUAUAAGAGUAAGGCCAGAAGGAGCCUGCGUUUCACUUUCUAUCUCUCUUUCCUUCUGGUGUGGUGUUCUGUAUAUAGUAUGCUUAGUGUUCAGGUUUUAGUCUUAUGAUAAGUUAUUGUAAGUUUAAGUUAAGUCUGCUGCAACUGGAUUCUUAUGGACUGUGCUAAUCCUCAAUGUAUUGGAUUUGUGACCAUUAUGCUCAUUUGCCUAAAGUCACGGUAAAGCUCUGCUGGAUGAAAUAUUAAUUUCCUCUGGUCUAUGCAACCUGUUUUAAGUUUUUACUCUGCUAACUAUGCUUUGGAAUCUGCUCUGGAUCAAUAUGAGUAGAAUUCAUGACAAAGCAGUCUAUAUUAUUAUUAUUAUUAUUAAAAUUAACUAUUUAUUAAAUUAACUGUCAUGUCAGAGGUGCAACAACAUGUUGGCAGCAUUCUCUUAAACUUAAAUCUUCCAUGUUCCAGGGACCUUGUGGUAUGACUGCCCAGUUCUACUUGCCUUCCAACUGCAGGUGGGCUUCUAAGCACGUUCAACUGAAUAUGCUUAAAAGCUCCCUUCAGUCCUUCUUGGUCCAUAUGGGAAGGUUGAGGGUGCUGCAUUCAGGGGCCUUGAGGUUAGAGCUGGCAUGUGCACUCUCAGCCUCCUCCCAGUUUGAGUAUUCAAGCAUUCUGUAGUGAAUUGGAACCAGGAUAGUUGCCCAUAGUUUUUGCUGCCAAAACCUCCAUGCAACCAUACAACUUCGUGAACCAGGUCACAAUCAAUUCUAGGGUCUGACAUGGCAGAUGCAGGGAAACAGUUUUCACAAAGUGCUCCCCCCCUCACUUUUACACACACACUCUCACAUUGCUCUAUUCUUUAUGUGGGUGUCUCAUUCUGGUCCACUCCACGCUGGCCAGAAGGCAGUCCCUGAUCUCAUUUUCAAAUUAGCUACUACAAAUUAGCUACCACUACAAUUCCAUGGUCUUCAAGUCUGGUACUCUUUGUUCCUCUCAUUCUGAGGAGAAAAUGUGCAUUGUUUCUCCUACUUCAUUCUUUGUAGCAACAGCAAUGAAUUCCUCAUUAUUCCCUCAGGGCACUGACUCACACUCUUGAAUCUGCAGGAAAGUGAACUGGAAUUUGUAUGUUUACAGAGGUCACUUGCAGUGCGUAGGAAAGAACAGGAAAGCAGGUUAGGGUAGCAACGAAUAUCAGAAAACUCUCGGCAAUAGACGUGUGAAUACUGACCACCGUAUUGAUUCACGGUUGUUAGCGGAUUGCAUUUGCUUUCACCAACUGACAGAGAGACGAUCACCCAGUAACCAUAAAAAGGUAUCAAUCAAAAACCUUAAUGUGUGUCAGAAAAAGGAGGUCUUUAGCUAUCAAAUUAGGAAAGUAAGUUCUCAGCAAUUUCCACAGGGGUCCUGUAGUGUUGAUAAUGAUUCCAAACUCCAUAUGUUUUAUUCAUUUUUUAUUUUAAAAAAACUAAACACUCUUUUGCAUUUGUCUUAUAGGUAAGACAAAUAAAAUAAUAAUGCAACAGGCCAUUAAAAUACCACACAAUCUAGGCACAAAAAUAAUACCCUGAGAGAAAAAGAGAGUUCCAGGGAUGAUGCUGAGUAACAUCUAGCAUAAUCUACAACCCAAUUAAACUGAAUUGACACUAAGAUUUAGGGUGCUGGUUUUGGUAUGAACCUUGAUUCUCUCCUUGCCACAGCAUUAUCCCAUGUACGUUGUUAUUAUUCUUGUCCCCUGUCAUGGAGGACUUAGAGGAAGCUAAAAAUAAUUUUAUUCUAUGUGCAACAGGAACUGAGCUAGAACAAGACAUUAUUUAUUCUGCUCAGGUAUGGCCAAAUCCAGUGCCACAUAAUAACAAAACCAUAUACUGACACUAUAUACAACUCUCUUCCCCUUCUUAGGAAAGCUUAAGGCUUUAAAAUAAUUAUUUACCUCCUUUGUUCAUUGGGUUACAAUCAUCUCCUACUUUCCAAAUUCAUGGUAAAGAUUAUCAAACUUUAUUUGACUGGGAUCUUUUUCAAAAUUCAAUUAUGAUACUUAAAUAGUCUUGUUUUAUAUUAUUUUCCCCAAAAACAAAAGCCAAUUUGGAUUUUCUAUAACAAUGUUUCAGUUCCUGGUGGGCUUCUCAAAGGAAUCUGACUGGUCACCAUAGGAAAUGGGAUACUGGAUUAAGGUAGAAUGGGUGGAUCUCUUGGUCUGAUAAUGAUAAAUUAAAUAAACCCAAAUGCUUGCAGAGUUACCCCUUUCCAGGGUAAGAGCAUCACAUCUGAAUACGGGCUGUAAGACCUAAAACAACUCUAUGAGAACAAAAAACUCUUCUUGCAAAGAAAGGCUGCAGGACCAGUCCCUAAAUCUUUGAUGAAGAGUUCACUUCUGCUGCUGUUCUAAUAUUAAAAGAGCUCUCCUUAUUUCAUCUGACGCUGUUGUUGCUGCGAGACUUGGCUUUCCAUAUGCAAAUAAAAACAGUGCCACUGAGUGUGCACAUAAAGAAAUAAACACUUUCAUUAUUCCUUCUUCCAAACCUGAGCAACCAGGGUGUCUUAAGAACACUAUUUUAAAAUUAAGAAAAAUUACAAUUAGAUUCCUAACCCAUUUUACGGCAUUAAAAAUUCAGUGUCUUCAGAGGCUCUCUCGUAGGCACAUUCUUUUCUCAGUGGUCUUGUUUCAUCUCUAGCCCAGAAGUCUUCCAAAGUGAGAAGAGAAUAAUCCGACUCUCACGCACACAAAAAGCAUAAGAGGUGUAUAAACAGAGCUCAACAUGUGAUAUAAAACUAUGAGAAGAAAAGACCGUGUUGGGUAAAUACCACACUACUUAUUUUAUGAUUUUUUAAAAUGUCAUUCUUUUGUCCAAUAUUGACUUUUUUAUAGGGAAGAUAAAUUAUAGAUCCUACAACACUUGGGAACUGUGGCUUCCUUGCUUUGACACAGCUGGUCCAGUUAAGAAUUGAAGUCAUAGUAAUUAGUUAUGAGUUUCUUAGCAUCGAGGAGCCCGUCCAGGACAAGAAAACUUUGCAAGGUGACCCCUCCUGGGGGUGAGAGUAAACUCACGGGAAUGUACACAAUUGCCCAUGUAAAGAAGCACAGCCGUGGCAUCUGGAUUGUGUUGCUACAAAUAGAUGCUUCUCAGGGCACCUGCUUGUGAGACAGAAAUACAAUACACAGCCUCUUGCUUCCAUAACUCUUCCUGCUAAUGCAAACAACUUGUUUUGAAGACUCAAGAAUUUGAUGCUGCAAACCAUGGCAAAUGGAUUUGUUUGGAUUGGCAGAAUAGUUUAGGAUAAUGUUGGAAGGACAGUGUGUGCAAAUUAGCUGACGUGAAAUAAAGGGCAAUGUCGCCCUGAACACUGGGAGCAAGUCAUUACAGUGCUUGUUUGAAGAGUUGAAUAUGCCCAUGCUUCAUUUCUGACCCCAAUAAACAACACUUAUCAAGUGUUGGUUCCCACCCAUGCUAGUGUUGGAGUGGUGGUGCCUCAAGCAAAAUGGUUACUGCAUUAUACAGGGACAUUUCUUUAAUUUUUGUGCAUACAGUACUAUAAUACCCAGCUGUAAAUAUGCACAACUACCAUUUUAGCUUCCUCAAAGGGAAAUAUAUAGUAAAAGGAAAGGGUGAUGUCAAGAGGCAGUGUUGACCUAGAUAAGGGCCAGUAAACUGAAGCUGAAUCCUAGGAAGAUGAUGGACCUGUGGGUGGGUGGUUCUAUGGUCUGGGAGAUAGGUCUCUUAUAGAUCAGUUUUGGAUGGGGUUGCACUUCCUCUGAACAGGUACUCCUUGAUCUAUCAUUGGGUCCCAGGAGUCUGGGAAUACUCAUUGAUCCAUCAUGGUAAUUCAGUGGCCUUGGUGAUUAGGAGUGCUUUUUACCACUCUCAAGUUGGUGUGAGAGAUGCAGCCAUUCCCGGACAGGUGUAGUUUGGCUCAAGAGGUUCAUGCAUUGGAAAGGUCAUGAUUUGAUUGUUGCAAUGUGCUCUGUGUGGGGCUGCCCUUGCAUUUGAUCUGGAAGCUGCAGCUAGUAUAGAAUGCAGCUGCACGGCAUGUAGCCUGGGGUGCUUUCUGUCAACACACAAAACCAGUUGUGAGGCUGCCAAAAUGUUACCAUGCCAAAUCUAAGGUUUUGCUGGCAGGGUAUGAAGCCCUCAACAAUGUGCACAAUGUGAGGAAAGUGUAAAAAGGAAAAGGGUUUCUCCUUCGCUCAUAAUACUAGAACCUGGGGCAUCCACUGAAGAGGAAUGAUGGAAGUUUCAAGACAGAGAAAAGGGAAAAUCUCUUGUUUCAGAAAGUGUGAAUUUGGUGCGUUCACCUUUAAAUGCAUCUCCCCAAACCGUAGUCCUCAUUGGGCUGUUUUAUGGUUUGAUUUUUUUAAGGUUUGCUACCCCAAGAGAUUUUUUUUCUUCCUUCCUUGUAAACUGUAGAGAUCCCGCAAGUCUGCUGCUACUUCAUUCUUGUGCAUGGACAGUGCACUUGUGUCUACAUGAGUCACUAUUAAUACUUAGGAUUGCAGAAAGAAAGCAUGUGGUAUCAAACUAAUGACCAAUGAUGAAAUUCUCUUCAAUCAAAUAAACAUUCUAGAUAGUUUUACAAGAAAGGAAAGUCAUAUGCUUGUUUAGACACUAUGUAAUAGCAACAAAUAAUCUAAGGGCCAAAUUAUACAUUAUGUUUAUUGUGUGAAUACAAUUAAUAUACAUGUUCUAAUACACCCACAUCACACCCACAUAAAAAAAAUAGCUGCUACAGAGGGUCCAACCACCAGUGGGCUGCAGGGUUUUGAGAAGAAGAGUAAACCCUUCCUUCCCCUGCCAUGCUCUUGAUGAAAAUUGUUUGCUGGGAGCAACAUUUUUCACAGUUACCAAAUCCUCUUGCAUGCAAGUGCACAUAUGCCUAUGCACCCUGAUCUUAUGCAUGUAUUCAUGGAACACGCUAAUUUGGGGAAUUAGCAAUACUACUUUUGGAUUUUUUUACUGGAAAUGAUAGUACAUCACAGACAUUAUUGCAUUGGGCCCAAUUACUUCACUUGCAGAAGGGAAUUUUGCGGUUACAAUAUAAGUGCGCUUUCUUUAGGGAAUUAGCAAUAGUCACGCUGUAGUUAUAAUGAGAAUAUUUAUUAACAAAAAUGGCUUAACAAGAAGUAAAAAGUCUUAGUGGUUCAAUACAGAAAUAUAAAAGGCUCAAAUGAUUAGCUGCCACAGGCUAACCACUCCAUGUUGCCUGGACCAUACAUUUAGUUACUACUUCAGUAAUAGAGAGAAGAGGCUAGAGGCAGAGAAUUGCUGCAUGGGGUGGAUUUUUGACUGGGGAUUUGUGGAAUCUGGCGCUGCCUGCUCUGGUGCAACUUAGCUAUGGAGAGGCUCAAAAAACAACAAAAACUAGGUAAGAGAAGUUCACAUUCAAAACACCACAUAUUGCAAUCUUGUGACAGCGUGAGAUGAGCGAGAUUUGGAAAAUACAAAAGGUAGAAAGUAGCGACAGCAUCAGAACACGAAAACUUACCUGUUCUCUGUGAAAAACACAGAGAUGCAAAAAGCUGAGUUUCCACUGUCAUAUUCUGGUCCACUACCAUGAUUAGAGAUCCAGCAGGGACUGAAUGUUUCAGAUUAUCCUUCCACCUGUCAAAAUAGUGGCCCUGAAGGGACUGCCAACAAACCAGCCCCAGUUUUGGACCCUAGAAGAAAGCAGCCUCCUUAUUUUUGAGGCUGUCCCUACACACAUCUGUAUUUUAAUAAAGGCCUAUCUUUUCACUUGGAGCCUGCCUUCUUGGGUUUUUGUGAAGGAUACCGCCAGUCUAUUUUUUCUAACAUCUCCCCUGCUCCCGGUGUUCCUUUAAACUCCCCUGUUCCAGUUAAAAAUAGAAGGAAAGAACUGUAGAUUUGGAAGGUACCAUGAGAGUCAUCUAGUCCCCCCCCCUGCAAUGCAGGAAUCUCAGCUAAAGCAUCCAAAGGAAAGAGCCGUCUUGUAGGAAGGCACUGACUGGUGUCCCUCCACAUGCUUGCUGGAGGGACUCCAAAGGCUGCCAACAGGAGUCAAAUAGCUGGCAUCAUUUGCAUUAGAUUGUUUUAAACAGUUUUUGCUGAUAAUAUUAUGCUAUACUUUUUAUAAACCACAUUGAGGUUUUUUCUUUCAAUCAAGUGGCGUAUUAGUUCCAUGAAAUAAUAAAUAGAUAUGGAAAAUAAUAAAUAGAUAUGACUCUUGAGAGCCCCAUGGAUUGCAAGAAGAUCAAACCUAUCCAUUCUUAAGGAAAUCAGCCCUGAGUGCUCACUGGAAGGACAGAUCCUGAAGCUGAGGCUCCAAUACUUUGGCCACCUCAUGAGAAGAGAAGAUUCUCUGGAAAAGACCCUGAUGUUGGGAAAGAUUGAGGGCACAAGGAGAAGGGGACGACAGAGGACGAGAUGGUUGGACAGUGUUCUCGAAGCUACUAACAUGAGUUUAACCAAACUGUGGGAGGCAGUGGAAGACAGGAGUGCCUGGCGUGCUCUGGUCCAUGGGGUCACGAAGAGUCGGACAUAACUAAACAACAACAACAAAUCUAAUUCAAGUUUGCGGCUGGCUAUGUACAGUGGUACCUCGGGUUACAUACGCUUCAGGUUACAGACUCUGCUAACCCAGAAAUAUUACCUCGGGUUAAGAACUUUGCUUCAGGAUGAGAACAGAAAUCGUGCUCUGGCGGCGCGGCAGCAGCAGGAGGCCCCAUUAGCUAAUGUGGUGCUUCAGGUUAAGAACAGUUUCAGGUUAAGUACGGACCUCCGGAACCAAUUAAGUACUUAACCCGAAUUACCACUGUAUUGGUAUCAUCAGUACUGGCUUUGACAUAGGGGAAAGUCUCUCUGUCUCUCUGUCUGUCUUUCUCUCUCUCUCUGUUUCCCAUAAUGGGAUCAAAACCAAAUUGCGCAAAGGGGGAAGAAUCCAACGUAACCCUAUAGCAAUCUAUAGCAUUUCAGCUUGCUAGACAAAAGGAUUCCCUAGCCCCUCCCUCCUCGUGCUGUUCCGGAGGGUUUACAGGGUUGCUUGUGAAUUGUUCUGUUUGCAGUAUAAUGGUACUGCACUGAUACUUCUAUCUGCUGUUCAUAGUUUUAAUGUGAUUGUGUUUUUAGCUGUUUUCGUGUUGUUGUUUUUAAAAAAGUAACUGCCUUGGUCAUAGAAAAGGCGGCAUAUGUCUUUUCAAUGAAGAAAUAGAAAAGGGUAUCUAAAGCUGCCUUGAAAUGUGGUAAAUAGAAGGCAAGGAUUAUUUGCUCUUGUGUGAUUUUAGGCUGGCUGCCCAUUUAGGAGUAGUUGCCUUACUUUAGAAACAGGCCACAGCAAAGCAACUUGUUCGCAGAUGCUGAAAACCUAUAGGUUUCAGAGUAGCUAUCAUGAGGAUUUUGAAAAGGGGGAUUUUUGCUUUGCAUAGAUAUAUACCCUUGGACCAGAAAAGAAUGAACAUACAAGGUAGAGUGAAAGAAUGGAACAUCCUCUUUCUUCCCACUUGCCUCUGUUAUAUAAAAGGGUUGUUUUUAACUCUACACUCCAGUCAUCCCCCAUAGCCCAUGUUCAUAAUGCAUCAUGCUUCUCAAUCAUUAUUCUCUUUUGGCAUUUGGCAUCUGAAUGUGCGAUAGGUGCUAUUAUUUUCUCUCUCUCUCUCUCUCUCUCUCUCUCUCUGUGUGUGUGUGUUUGCCUAUGUGCAUCUAGCUGUUCUGUAAAAUAUUACUCUUGAAGACUAGAACUCAUCAUUAUGAUGGAAGCUCAGCAGGUAGCAGAAUGAACAGCCACUAGCCCAUGAAUUAGAAGCCUGGAGUGUCAUACACCUUUGCUGAUACCCAAGAGAGAGAGAGAGAAAGCCUUAGUAGAUCAAAUCUAAAGGUCCCAGAAUUCCACACCAUUGAAGCACAACCUUUAUAUUUUAUUUUAUUUUUGCUGCUUCAUUAGCUGCCUGUUGAAGAACAACUUUUGCAGGCAGAAAACGGACCCCUUCAUAAGAGGGUGACAAUCCACACAAAUCAUUGCACUGCUGCCCUCCAAGGAAUUAGGAGCAGAGCAAUCUGUUUUAUACUGAAUCAGAUCCCUGGCUGAUCUGGCUGGGAUAGGGCCACACCUCAGUGGUAGAACAUCUGCUUUAUAUACAGAAGGCCCAAAACUGAAUCUCUGGUGUCUCCCCGUAGGGCUGGGAAAAGAAGUUAACUGACAUCUCAAUCUUCCCCCGCCCUUUUGUGCCAGCUCAUAGGAGCAGGCAUGAUACAGUACAAUUGGUGGCUUUUGGACACAAUAGCUAAAUGCAGCCUCUGCAUAUAGCGACAGUGGAUCUCUGAAUCCCAGAUGAAAAGGACAAACAACAGGAGAGGGCAGUUGUCUUUAUGCCUUUCUUUUAAACUUCCCAGAAUUAGAAACUUCCUGUUAGGCACGCAUUCAGUGGUCAGUUCUGCCCUGUUACUGACACUGGCCCACUCCUGGCAUGUGUAGGUUGGAGGGGUGAAGCCAAUAUCCUUGACAGUAUGACACCAGACAGUACGUACAUGCAGGCCAGGAGCUUCCCUACUGUCUCUCCAGUGUUUCAGUGAUGCAGCUCCAGGCCCAGUCAUCACACAUACUGGCCACUGCUGUCCUGUUAAUGAUGCCAGCUCUGUCCCAGUGUGCAUACCUCGGGAGAAUGGCAGCAUCAUUGACAAGGAGGUGCUGACCACCACACGUGCCAAGUGGACCAAGAGGUCCUCGUUGCACAGCUAUGGCGGUAGCACUGGCAGUUUGCUGGUAGUGGUGAUAAAUCCUGUUGUGGCCCUGGCAUUUGCUCCAGAAUGUUAUGUACUGGCACCAGGCCUGAUUCAAAGUGAAAUGUAAGGUUUUGUGUGUUUUUUUUUAAUUGUGGAUCCUGCCUCCAGUCAUUAAGAUUAUGGUGGCAAUGAUACAUGUUGCAGGUAUUUUGAAUAUUAUGUGGUGUGGUUUUUUUUACUAAUGGCAUUUGACGAAAGUGAUGGAAUCUUCAUUAAAAAAAUUAUAACUGGAAUUACAAAUAUGCAAGAUACGCUAUUUAUAUGAUAAUUAAAUAAAUUAUUUAUCAACCGCCUUUAAAUAUCCAACAGAAAAGAGAGAACAACACCCUAACCAAUAUAGGAAAUAUAAACGGGGCAUUUGGUCUUUUGAAAUAAACAGACAUUGGAUAAAAUCCAGCGGAAUAGGUACUAUUGGUGGAACAGGUCCUGCCUUGCAGCCCUGGAACAGACGUUGGGGUUGCAAGGGAGAGGAGAGGAAGGGAAAGUCUCAUUGCAUGAGAAGAAACCCACUCACGUGGUGCUGAAUGUCGCUCAUACAUUGUUGCUUUAGGUAGGGCUGAAAGCCUUAGAUUGCCAAACUGAUCACUCGAUUUAGUGACAACAGGUGGGGUGGAUGACAGUGGAUGAACCACCUUAUCCAACACCAUGCUUGACCACACAGAAGACUAGAUGUAAGGGCUUAGCAGUGGUCUUGCAUGCUUCCAUCCCUUUCACAACACUCCAGGUGGAAUAAUCUCCCUGGUUUAUGGGCAAGUCAGAGGCCUGGUCUGCCACUGCCAUGCUCCCCUUUUCAAGGCAAGGUCUGCAGAAGUUUCCAUGGUAGCAGAGAGGAGGCAUCUGACACCAGAUCUCCCUCUUCAAGGUCAUACUUUCCUCUCCGCCCUUGGAGAAUGAAAUCUGAUGCUUCCCAUGACCAAUGUAAGGCCUUCCAAGGGGGCUCCUCUAGGACCCCAGGGUUACUAAUCAAUCCCAGAGAUGCAAAUUUAAAACAGGAUUUUAAUCAGCUCUGUUCCCUGUGAAAGUGCUAGUGGCAUUCAUCUGAAAAGAGUCUGUAUUUCUGUACGCAGCACAUCACCUUAAUUCAGUGGCUUUAGUCCAAACUAAAAGACAUCUGAUGUGCCCGCAGAUGACUUCAGUAGGAGGACUGGAAUCGGAGAUAUCAAGCAGUGUCUUUUCUUGGUUUUAUACCGUAGCCACUGUCAGUCAUAGUCGGCUUACUUAUAUACUACAUUUUGCAAAAAUACAUUGUGUUCCAAGUGACUCACAGAGGUCAGUUUAAGGAAAAUAGCACAAUAGCCAUAUCAAAUAACACACUACCAUGUACUAUUGGCAUUUGAAGGAAUACAAUUAAUUUAAAACAUACCAAAAGUUUAAAGAGUGUGAAACAUCCAAUAGGUCAGUGAGCAAUAUCAAAUUCCAAUAAUAUCAACAACCCACAUUAGGCAAUUUGUUUAGCACUUUACAUUAACAAUGAGAUUGCUUGCCCAUGACAAACUAGCGGGCAAAAGAGGAACAGAUUAAGUCACAGUGCUGAACUACCCUUCAGGGCAGUCUCCUCGGCCCCUAGGAUUUGGCUGCUAUGUUUGGAUGCAUCUCCUCAUAGGGAUGAAUGAAUCUGUCAAAUUUGGUUUCUCUUGUUUUUUUCAUUUCCCCCGCCUUAAUAUCGGUUUCCCCCCAUUUCCACAUAUGUUUGAUUUUUUAAAAAAGUGUGCAUGAUUUUCAUGUGUAUUUCUCCUAUUAUAUGUAAUUUUUUGUACACAAUUUUGGUGAGCACAUGCAUUUUUGCAAACCGUUUGCCGCUAAAUAGAACGCAUUUUAGGUUCACUAAUUAUAAACACUUUUGCUUGCACUAAUACACAAGUUUUUGCACACAUUUUUUGGUCUGAGACCAAAAUUUGGAGCAGUGUAAAUUUCAAUAGUGACCUAUGGUUAGGGUUGCCAUAUUUCAAAAAGUAAAAACCAGGACACCCCAAAAAUUGUUCAGCUUUUUUCACAAAAGCGUCAAAAAACCUCAAAUUUUUCGAUUGACUUCCCUAAGAUCCAGGACAAAGUGCUGCCUUUCUGAAUUCCCCCUGGGAAUCAAUUCUGCAUUUGAAAUCCUGGUAAUGUCCAGAAAAAUCUGAACCUGUGGUUUGGUUUGCAUAUUGGUAAAAAAUUGGUACAUAUUAAAAUGAGAAUUAAAGCAAUUCUUCCCAUCUCUAUCUGGUACACUUUCUUAUGCUUUCUUAUGUUGAGCACACCCCCAGAGAGGGGGUGGAGAUGUCCUCACCUGAUACACAUUGCCUGAUUUGUUUCUUGUACUGAGCACCGGUUCACCGAAGCUGUCAUCUGCACAUGUGCAAUGGCUGUCUCAAAUGUAUACAAGUCUCAAAUGUGGUCUCUUCAGGAACUUAUGGAACACUGUCCUUGGCUUGAACUUCUUAUCUCCAAUAAUUUCUGCACAAAACAAACCACACCAGAGUGAUGCUGUUCAGAUAUUAACACAUACCUCUGUAUUUAGCACCAAUAGGUUGCACUCACUUGGCUGGCCAUCUUGCAAAGGAUAUGGGAGGGAAAACAAAAAUAGAAGAAAAAGAACAGUUAAGCAACAGUCUUAUACGGACUUUCCUGGGCGUGAGCCCCAUUGAACUAAAUGAGGCUGGUUUCUGAGUCGGCAUAUGUAUGAGUGCAAGGCUAACCUUGUUUUAUUAUGUCCUCUUAUAUGCUAGAUAUUGAAAAAUCGCUCCUGCAAUCUGAAGAAAUAGUCAGGCUCAUUUUAACAUUUUAGCAGUCUUAUUACAGUCAUACCUCGGUUUACAGCCGCUUCAGGUUGUGUUUUUUCGGGUUACAGACCGCCGAAACCCAGAAGGACAGGAACGGGUUACUUCCGGGUUUUGGCAGUCGCGCAUGUGCAGAAGAGCUAAAUCGCGCUUUGCGCAUGCGCAGAAGCGCCGAAUCGCAACCUGCAGCCGCGCCACUGCGGGUUGCGAAUGUGCAUCCCGCAUGGAUCACGUUUGCAACCGAGCGUCCACUGUACUUGUGUUAAGGGGUGGUUUUUUCCCCUUAAGGAAGCAGUGUUUGAAUGUUUUUGUUUUCUAAAGUGUAUGUUUUUGCUGUGACCAAUUUUUUGUUUUUAAAUGCUUUUUUAAAAGAAGGAAAAUAACCAUAAGAUGUGUUCUUAAAACACACUGCUUUGAAUCUUGCCUCCCAGUGUUUACCCAUCCCACCUCGUUCUGAAAUGGAGCUCUUGGUUUCAACAUUCUCUUCAGUGCAGGGAAAGCGCCAUACAUGAUGCAGGAUCCCUGUGGAGUGCUGGAUUGUGGCCAGUGUGUUUAUGUGACACAUUUCUAAAUUAAUUGAUUAGUGAAGAAAAACUACCAUCUUCAUUAAGUAGUAUCCAGCUUUCAUCUGUACUGCGGUAGUUCAGUUUUUUCCAAGUUGGAUAUAAAUUUCUUUAAUUUGUAAAAAUAAUAUUCCAAAUAAAUUAAUAUUUCAGUUCUAUUUUUUAAAAAAACACACACCAAGGUUCCAUGGAUGCAUAAGGAAUUUCCUUCUAAGUAACAGUGCACUGCAAUACAUCUCUACUCAGAAGUAUGGUAUAUUCCAUUGAGUAUGAACUAGCCCCGCUGAAUACAAUGGAACUUGCUCCUAUGAAAAUGGUGUUAAAGACAGCAGAUUCAGUGUCCUUAACCAACUGACCUAGGAUUGUUAUAAUUGUUGCCCUAACUUUUAGGACUAAAUUAAAGAUUAUAUAGUACAAAGUUUAUUUUAGAAAAUUCUCUAGGCAAAGGAAAAUUGUGGCUGUGGUCCAAAGCAAAAUUAAAGACGUACCCAGACUGAAUAUUUUCAGGGAAGGUAGAGGUUGACAGUUUAUGUUAAAACAACAAAAACUUGCACAAGCCAUUAAUGCUUAAAUGGCAAAUCCCUAUUCAUGACAGUCUUUAAAUAUCUGCAUACAGUAUCCUUAAGUAUCCUUAAGGACCAAUCAUGGUCAGAAUACUUUUAUAGUUCUUGCCAUCUUCUAUAGAUGCAUUAAGAAGUGGCAGAUUGUUCUGAGAUACCCAAAUUUGUGUGUCUAGUGUUUUUCAAGCAGCAUGCUCUGGGUAUUUGGGUGAAACAGCACUUAUUUAACAAGACUUAAGAGGGACAUUUGGAAAUUAAUCCACCUCAAAUUACUGAUCACAUGUAACAUUUAUGCCCAGCAAUUCAGCUGAAUGAUGUAAUGGUUUGUUUUUUUACCUUGCUUUACACAUGAGAUUGCAGGAAUAAUACUACAACUUCCUGAAAUAUAUGACUGGGUUUUUGUCCUAUGCUUAGAGUUCAUUAUCAUAGUUGCUGCACAUCAGUAACAUUUUAUGAAGAAUAUCUAUAUUUUUAACUUCUAUUCUCACCAUCUGCUGUCAGUUUCCAGGACCUGUCUUGCCAACGAAGAGACCAGCAGAUGUCACUGUAGUUCUGUUCAUUUAUCUUUCCUUCUGAUGGAAUUCCAGUGGUAUUUCUUUUCUAGGCUCAGACCUUCAGCUUUUGUUAUUUAACCAUUGUCUUUUCACAUCUUAAUGCAUCAUAAUAUUUGUAAUUCAUAUCUCUUUUUCACCAAGUUCCAAAACAGACAUACGUCUUAAAAAACAGAAUGCAAGCCAAAGGAACAUCAUCACUGUUGGGUGGUGGUGGUGGUGGUGGGGCAGUAAAAAAAAAAGGGGGAGAGCAGUUCAUAAGGUAAUGUGCAACUGAGGGGAGGGACAGGAAGUGCAUACAAAGAACUUGGGUUUUGAGCAGGGGGUAGACAUGCAGGUAUUUAGAAUGAGAUAUGCAUCCAAAUGUAAACUUCCUGAAGCCUCUGACCUGUCUCUUUUUCAAAUUGUCUUGUUUUCUGCCUUCCAAAUAAAUUUCAGUCAUGAUGGGAGGGAGAAAAAUCUGUUAUUAUGUUCAACUUCAUCAGCUCAGGAAGUUGCAUCCUGACAUAGACAACAGAGACAAGCGUGCACUUGUUCAGUUAGGUAAACCCUAGGUUUGUUUUGGAGAGGAUGUUCUUAGUCUCCGGAGGGAAUAACAAUUUCCUGCUGUUUAUUAAGCCAUGAAAUAACAUCAAGAGUCCACAGGUGAAGAAGACAGUAUAUCACUUAUCUGUAUGGGAACACUGCUUUGGGCAAGAGUCACUGGGAAGCAGAGAUAUGAUGAUCUUGGAACUAAGAUGGAAGUCGGCAUAAAACCUCAUUUGAUAGUCAUUACAUUGCAUUUGAAAACACAUAUAACAUGAUCAGGAAUGCUAGCCUACACCAGAGAAGGAGCUUUAUUCUGAUGUUCUAUGAGAUUAGUCUUCCUGUAAUUGUUUUGUAGCCUACUCAAGCCAACCACCCUGAUGCAACAUAGCUGUUUCACUUUGUGACAUCCAAGCAUAUUUUGAAAGGCUGAUGCGUAUGUUUGUGAUAUCCAAGCAUAGCCCCAAAAGCUGGUCCCUAGGGUGGCACUUUUGCAGAGCUUGGAUAUUAUCAUGGCAACUCCAAGCUAGGCCAAGUUGGUGACUACUUAAAAUGCACUUAAGUGUACCAAUUUAGUAGGAGUUGCAGAGUUUCAAGGUCUCUGAAUAAGGCUUCUACUACCAUGAGGGAGUUUUCAGCUGGCUAAGAGCAUCUCUCUCCUUCUAUUGUAAUUUUUACUUAACCCUCAGCCCCCUUGCUUUGAGCUUGCCCUGGUGCAAAUAUUGCACAACAGAACAAUAAACAAGACAACUUGUAAAGUAUAAUGUUUGACGGGUCUUGCUUGCUCUUCUUGGCCAUUAGUGUAGAGUGUCUGCCUUGAGCAUAACAUGUAGAAUGGUGUCUACAUUACUAUAUCUCAGAGAUCUCAUCUUUCAUUACUGUAUCUCAGAGACUGGGCUGAAGGUUGGGAGGUGCAUGAAGAAUGCAUCGUUGGGAGGAGGCCUUAUUGUGCAGCUCCAGUGGCUGCACCUCCUCGUCUCUCACGCUCAGGAGAAGCCUGCCUUAGAUGCUGCGCUACACUUGGCAAAUCUGUGGGUGAAGAGAUAACAAGGAGGCAUCUGACCACAAAACAGUAAAACCAAAGCCCUCUCUUCAUUUGGUCAGCUUCUGUGAAGUAACUUCCCCCGAAAUUUCCCAGACUGAAAUCCUAUACACAUUUGCCUAGAAUUACUCCCUAGUGAACUCAGUGGGACUUAUUUUUGAGUUGACACAAACAGAGUUGUGUUGUAAGUCUCUUCCCUGCUUGGUGGGCAUUACACAUUUUAAACAGGGCCCAACAUAAUGCACCUGGGUUCUGUUUAUGACUCCAGACGAUGGUAUACUUAUGAGAGCAAAAACAAGGAAUUGACUGAAAAAUUAGACUAUAGAAUAUUGUAUUGGCUUGACAGUCAUGUUGCAUUAGGAGAUACAAGGUGAUUUGCAGCUGCCUAAUGACAGGUACAAUCUGAUGCCAUGCAAUAUGAACCCUUGCAGCAAGACACACAGUCAGAUUCAUGGUUGUGGACGAAAACAAAUGCAUUUUAAUGAUGCUCUGCUCCCAGAUAAUUGAUCCAGACAAUUAUUAAAUUGAUUCAAGGAGAAAAAUGUUUGUCCUUAAUCACUAUUAUAAAUGUACAAUUUUAUAAUCUUCAGACAAAUUAGCGGCUUUGAGACUGUUGAGCGCAAGGGAGGGCGGUCGAGGGAUUGUGCUGGAGUUUUCCCACUUGUUCUUGGAAAGAAGCACUUUGAGGGCAGCGAUGGGCAACUUUGAUUCACAUCCUGUCCCUGUGGGUUCCAUUCAGUUCUGUCACCUGUCACCAAAUGGGCUCAAGCAAAUAGGCAUUUGCUAGUACACUGCUGACACCCUUUGCCUCAGUAUUUUGUCAAGCAGGAUACACUGCAGUUGUACGGGGUUUGCCUCCAUUCUGUGUGUCUUUCUGCCUGCAUAAUCUUUCCAUCAUAUUCUGAAAGCUGGCUUGCCUAAAUGUGUGAGCUGUAAGCCCUGAACAUAAGAAGUGACCAUAGAUAAGUCACAGUCUCUCAGUCUCUCAGGCCUUGAUCUGCAAUAUGAGCAGGGAAUAAUUUAUGCCAGGGCUGUGGCUACUUUUUUCAGUUCCGGGGCUUAUAGGAGGGAAUAAUAACUGCAAAGGUUUAGAGUGCCUUUGCUUUACCAGUGUGACAUAACUCCUAAGGGCCAAUGUCCCUUCACCCACCCCCAAUAGAAUAUUUGAGGAAGCAAGCCCCCCCCCCCCCAAGUUGAUGCACAUUGCCCAAUAUUAUGUGGGGCAGGGCUUACCUGGACCCGCUCCCCAAUAUUUUAUUUUACUCAAGUUGGCACCACUGCUGAGGUCCCCCCUUCUGUAGGGAAUCCACUUGCUGAAGUUGGCUUGUUUCUAAAGUUUAAGACUGAAGUCAUAGUCAAGACAGCUAUUUGAUUCACCAGGAAAGACUCUCCGUGCUUUAAGAUUUGUUUCAUUUUCUUAAGUCUGGUGGGGGGGAGUACCUUGCUGGAAUAUUUCCCAAAGUCACAUUGCUUUAUGAACUUUGGAGAUGGUGGAAGUUCCCACAAUGUUCAGGCCUCAUUAUUGUCUUACGACCGCACGAAUUAGCUAGUCUAUGACUAGACCCUGCCGUUCUAAUCCAAGGUCUUACUGUGUCAUAAAUGCACAUGUGUCAUUCCUAUUGGCAUCAAGGGGAGCUGUGGCUGCGCAAUAGUCUCCUCCUUCAAGGUAGAUUCCCUUUGAAUUCAUUGAUAAUUAACAUGCUGCUGGGUUGGCUUCUAAGUUUAUACCUUUAUUCCAGUAUACCUCUGACAGGGAAAUAUUGAUGUGAAGCCAGGGCCCAUGCUGCUUUGUGGACAUGUUAGGCUGAUAUCAAGGCACAACAUAGUUUCAUUAAAGCUAACCUAUAUUAAAAAUGCACAGAAAUAAGUGGUUGUUCUAGGCCAGCUAUGCCGUACAAACGAAAUACAUAUUUGCGAGCCUCAGAAAGAUUCAAAAGGAAAAUGCAAAUUUAGGCUCCUCCCCGCCCCAACUUGAAGUCUUGUGUCCACUCUCCCUCCAGUCGGAGAUGUUUUAAUAAUGUCUUGUGCAGCUGUAUGAUUUAGCCAGUACACUAAUGAAUUCUAAGUCUCUGCACCAUGUUGUAAAACACCUUCAAUUUGUACUGGAUUUUCCCCUUGGUUACAGAAGUUCAGCAAGAAGAUUUGGUACAAAGAAUACAAAUGAAACAACUAACAUAUCUUCUGUUGACUACAGUCGUCACUUUUUGUAAGGCUUACAGAGGCAAACAUACAGCUCCAUGGAAUAAUGAAUCUAAUUUCACAUUUCUUGGUAAAGGGUAUAUGCAUGCCUUCCUUCAAUCCCAAUUCAACAGGGACAACCACAUUUUUUUCUUAGCUCUGUUCUGGCCAGCACACACCCACACCUCUGCACUGCCCCUGGCCCAGUUUUUAGGGAGCAACUCCUUUACACCCACAUUGUGCUGAAUGUGCUUGCUUGCUUAGCAUUUCUAUCCCACCUUUUCUCCAAGGAGCACAAGAUGGUGGACAUGAGCCCCUCCUCUUCCCAUUUUAUCCUCACAGCAACUCUGUGAGGUAGGUUAGACUGAGAGACAGUGAUAGGCCCAAAGUCACCCAGUGGGCUUUCUGGCUGGGUCAGGAUUUGAACCCCAUUCUCCCAGGUGUUAGCUCAGCAUUCUAACCACUACACCACACUGAGGUGCAAUGAUGAAACCCAAGGUUGACAUUUAUCAGGAGAUGCCAGGAAUUGAACUGGGAGCUUUUGGGCCAGUGUGUGUUUGCCCAGUGUGGUGAAGGCAGUGUUGAAUCCACAGGCCCUUAACUGCUGCUGCCCAGCCAGCCACUGCCCACCCACACUGGUUAUUGGAUGGGAAACACUAUAAGAGAGCUUUCUGUUCCAGUUAAAUGUUUCUUAAGCAACGAGGCCUUCCUGAGCUGUGAUGUGUUCCUGUAUCCUGCAGUCCUAGCUGACUCCUCUAAUCUGCAUUCUGGUUUGUCCUUUAAUCCUGACUUUUCCAUCCUCAGUUCUAGUUCCCUCUUUGGUCGUGUGACCUGCUUUGGCCCUAUUCAGUCUUGACAACUGAACAGCGAUAUAAGAAGUCAUUGUUUACUUUUCUGCUCUGUAUUUGUUGCAUGCAGCACUGCUUCCAUCCCACUGCAGCUUUUCUUCUGCCAAAACCUACAUUAUUCAUAUUGUUGGCAAAAAUCAUGUAAUUUACCUAAUUUAUGUAAUUAAUUAUGUAAAGUACAUUGUCAUUGCGGUACUCCAGGUGUAUUCUGCCUCGGCCAGACCACACCUGGAGUACUGUGUCCAGUUCUGGGCGCCACAAUUCAAGAAGGAUAUUGACAAACUGGAACGUGUGCAGAAGAGAACGACCAAGAUGCUCAAGGGUCUGUAAAACCAAACCUUAUUGAGGAAUGGUCGAGAGAGUUGGGUAUGUUUAGGCUGGAGAAGAGGAGACUGAGAGGAGAUAUAAUAGCCAUCUUCAAAUAUCUAAAGGGCUGUCACAGGGAAGAUGGAACAAGCUUGUUUUCUCCUGCUCUGGAGGGUAGGACCCCAACCAAUGGCUUCAGUUACAAGAAAGGAGAUUCCGACUAAUCACCAGGAGGAACUUUCUGAGAGUAAGAGUUGUGGAGCAGAGGAACAGACUCCUUCAGAAGGUGGUGGAAUUUCCUUCACUGAAGGUGUUUAAGCAGAGAUUGGGUGGCCAUCUGUCAUGGAUGCUUUAGUUGAGAUUCCUGAAUUUCAGGAGGUUGGACUAGGUGACCCUCGGGGUCACUUCUGAUGCUACCAUUCUAUGAUUCUAUGAUUUCCAUUCUGGGCAAAUAAGCAAACACCGGUAGUUUUCACUCCCAUUUCCAUUUCUGUCAGAAUUUGCCAACCUCCCUACUGGCUACACCUCAUUCCUGGCUUACCUCUGACUUGUGCCCAUGGCCCAGUCUUGACAGCACCACAAGUAAACUUCAGAAGUUGCAUAUGUUCUCCCUUUACUGAUAGUGUUAAAAAAAUAAAAAGGCACUUGUUAAUCACACAGGUUAUAUGAUCUGAGGCAAACAAAGUGAUGCAAAAUGUUUUCUUUUACAUGCGUUUGCUUCCCCUCCCCACAACUCCUGCACUCUUUUCCUCCCCAAAGCCUCAGAAUAAAAUAUAAAUACUUGCAGUGGAGACUAGUCAUUAAGAGCAGGUGGGGGACCCCAAUGCCAGGCCUCCCAGGCCAGAGCCCACAUUCACCACUCUCCCAUCUCUUCAAAAAUGUCUGAAGCUAGAGCGGUCCAUUCUGGCAGCUGCUGUGCAUGCAAUCUACACCGUUUCUUGACUUCUUGCCCCAUCCCAGUUACCUAGAAAAGGGAAAAAGCAACCCUGUGGUUUCUGUGAAAAAUUGCCUCAGGCAGGGAGGAGGAAACCAAGAGCAGGCUUGGGUGGGGAAAGAUAUAUAUAUAUUCUUAACUCAAAACUCUAAGAAUGUGUGCAGACGCCACUUGCUCUUAUAUUCUAAGGAGGCAGGGAGGCUGGAAAUCUGUAGUUACUCAGGGCUAAGGAGAAUAAACUUUGCACAUGUUCAGAAUUUGUUUUCUCCUCAGAUUCCAGGACUGUUAUAGAAAAGAGACCCCUAAGUAGGCCUUGGUGCAGAAUUUGCACAAAAUGAAUGUUCACUGAUGGCAUGACACAGGAGGCCAGUUGGCCACCAUGUACUAUAGUACAUGGUACAAAGGCUUGCCUUGCUUAUUUCCAUGCAGAGAUAAGCUCACCAUAAACUUGAGAAGGUACUCAAUGGUUGAACGAACGAAUGACUCUUUAUUUGCAUCAGCCAUCAGCCACAGCAAUAAAACAACAAUACAAUAUACAAAGAAUAGAAAUAAGAAGUUAAUAGUAUAAAAUACACUUUAGGGUUUUGAAUCAAUGGCCAAAUAGUAGAUCUUCUGAUUGCCCAGCUAAAAGCCUUGCAACAUUUGCUGUCACCUGCUCAUCUUGAUCUGCCAAGAGAAAGGACACUGUGGCAGUGCUUGGGCGACCCGGAAUGGACAAUAAAAGAGGGGUGAUAAUCUCAUUCCUCAAGUCUUUAUAAAGAGUGCAAGCCACAAGGGCAUGCACCACCGAUUCGGUACUGCCAUCUCCACAGGGACAUAAGCGUUUUUUGUGUGGAAUAUGUUGGAAUCGUCCCUCAAGUACACCCAGAGAGUCAAAAUGGGAAGUUGGUAAAUAGUCAUACCAUGGGCAAAAUUUCCUUAUUGUGGCUAAGUUGUUUUGACACUCGAUAUCAUUUAGGGUGGCACUGACAAAUUAGACUGUUUGCUUUACUAAAACCCAAAGUGAGUAGCUGUUGUGGUGAUAAACCACAAGAGUUAAUUUUUUGAUAGACAAUUUUAGUCCGGGCUCUCUUAUGACAAUUUUGCAGCACUAGGGAUAUUAGAGCAGGGGGAUUUGAGUUUAGGCAAUGCCAAUAGUUAAGUGUCCUACUCCAGAUCUGUAAUUCUACCAAGGGAAGAUUAGGCGCAAUGAUACGUUUGGGACUAGGGUGGUAGAGAGAAAUUUUUGCCUUAAGAACUUUGAUUGGACAGCUUCCGUAGAUCCAAAGUGAGUGCCUGUCCACAUGGAGGUACUCAAUGGUUACUGAAAAUAAGGUCUGCUGUCUGUGUUCUGUCUUUUUAUUUGUGUAUGUAGGUCCUUAACCCUCUGAUGAAGGGUCAACUUUCUUUUCUUUUUUUAUUAAGUUUCUUUAUUGAGAUUUCCCUGCAAUACAGUAAAAUUGCAGCUACAAAAGAUACAAAACAAAGUAGAAAAACAGAAAAAGAAAAGCGACAAUAGAAACAGAGGAAAGGGAAAGAGAUGAGAACACAAAGAAAGCAAAAGAAAACCUUAGCAAAAAAAUACAAAAGAGGAACUUCCAAUUUUUCAUCUGCCUUUUACAUAAAAGAAGAGAAUAUUCCUGAUGAAGCAGGCUAGAGGUCUGCCUAGUCCAGUAUCCUGUCCUUCACAUUGGCCAACCAGAUGCAUAUAAGAAGCCUACAAGCAGAACAUAAUGACUAUUGAUUCAUGGUGACUGGUACUCAUAAGCAUGCUGGUUGUCUCUUUCUCGAGCUACCUGAAUGGUUAACCACAUCUUGCGGAAGUGAAUUCCAUAAUUUACCCAUGUACCAUGGUGGGGCAGGGGGAAGUACCUGCUUUUGUCUGCUCUGUGGGUGGCACCCUAAAAACACUUACCUGGGCAUUAGUCCCCAGUGGAACUUCCUUCUGUGUGUACAUGGAUAGGCGUGGGCUGCAGAAGAGGAAAUUAUGCAGCUUGACCUGAUCAGUUGAAAAAGAAGAGUAUAAAAAAUUGUUUCACCAGAUGAUAGCUCAAUGCCACAAAUUGUUAAUUUUAAUUAAUAUUGAAUUAAGUGAGAUUUGAAAUAAAUUCAUUUAGAUGAGAAGUCAUUGCAAUUAAUAUGCUGCCAUUUUGCAUAAUGACUACGGGACUACACAGAGAAUAUAUAUGGUUAAUGAGAAAGUUGACCUUGGUGACCUUACAGCAUGAUGUAUUAGAGAUGGUUCCCUGCAGUAGGCAGCUGAAGAAUUGGCAUUGUUGUCCUGUAUUAUUCUACCAAGCUAUAACGUUCUGUCAAAUUGUGUGUCAAGUCAGAAUAGAUUUGUUAAAGAGCCAUGUUAUAGAUUCACAUAAUUCUACUUUUUUGAGGUACAUAAAUAAAUGUUGAGAACCACACCCCAGUGCGGCUGACUGAAAGAAAUGCAGUUGGAGAGCCAAGUGUUGCAUUUUGUAUUUAUUCAGUACAGGCAUUUAUUGUUCCUGUUGCUCAAUUUAAAUAUGCAUCAAGCAACACUCUGAUUCACCUGCUGAAGAAAUGGUUCCAUCUCCACUUCCCCUCAACAUGUCAAGAACUUUGUGUGUGAUGUGGUUUGGCUAAUGCAGAGACCUCAGAAAACAGAUUAAACAUCAUGCAGAUCAUAUUAUCAAACAUAAACAAUGUAGAAUAUCAGUCACUGACAGGGUAUUAUAUGGCCCAGUUCACACAGCUUGGCAAACCAUAGUUAAGAGUUUACAAACAGUGUGCCAAUCUGGGUUGCUUUGCUCCUCCCUGCUUGUGUGUGGGAGAAGGAAACCUGCUAUAGCAUUAUGUCUGAACCAAUAUUUUUGUUUGCUUCACUUGAAAAAAUCAUGAUCAAUAAGCUAAGAACAAACAUUGACUAUGGUUCAUGGUUUGUUUAGAGAGAAACAAACCACGACGUCUGGUUUGGACAUAAUGCUAAUGCAGAGGUUGUGGUUUGUUUCCUCUACACACCAGUGGGGAGGAACAAAGUGAUUCAGACCAGUGUGUUCAUGGCAAACCAUUAAGUAUGGUUUUAUUGUGAUGUGCAGACAAUAAACCACAGUAAACCUAUGAUUAAUCCAAUACCUUCAGACAGCUUUCUAAAGCAUUGUUUGACCAAAGAGGGACAAAAAUGGAAUACCACUUUCAACUCCCUCAAUAUGGGCCGAGUUCUUGUCUCACUGGUCUUAUUUUGCCUUUCCAGUAUCAAAAGCAAAUCCAGUUCUACAUGAAAUAAAUGUGAGGGAUUAAUAUUUUUCCAGAGCUCGCUCAAUUCACUAUCAAGCUAAAAUCAUAAUCUUCUUUUCUUCUUCAGGUAAUUGUUGUGCUACUUUAUAAGCAGGAGGGGAGGGGAGAUUUAAAUAUUCAGAUCUUUUGCUCGACAUUUUCAAUCUACAUACUCAACAGGAGCACACAGCUAGUGUGCCUCCAGCAUUAGAAAAAUUCAUAUGGAAGCUUUCAGGAGGCCAUCCUCCCCAAAUUACCACAGUUCACAUAGGAGCAUACAGAAAACCAGCCUGUAGUAUAUUUUCCACAUACAUAUGAGAACAGUCAGCAAGUCAAACCUCAGUAGAGCCAAAACAAACACAAAAAAGCGGGCAGAAAGCUGGCACUGGCUAAAAUCUGCAGGAGGGAAGAUAUAACAGCCUUCAACAAUACGAAGAACCCUGAUUUCUUGUCAUGGCACAGAACUUUCAGAUAAGUGAAGAACACAGAGAACAAUUGGAAUCCAUCAAAUACAGAAAUGGUCUCAGCACCUCCUUGGAUUUAAGUGCUUUGUUGCCCUAGUGCAACGUCUACACUUUUAAAAACAAAGAAACAGACCUUUUGCUGUUAGGAAAGUGAUGGGGGAAUGCACCGGAAAGUGAAGGAUGAACAAAUGAUCAACAGGAAGGUGUAUAAAUACUGCACAAGCAAGUCAGGGCGAAGGCUCAUUGUUGAAUAACAAACCCGCAAACAAAUCCAAAUGAAUGCUCGAUAAAGACUGGGCAUAGUCUAAUCUCUACAUUGUUUGUUGUGCAAGCAAAGCAGGAUGAAUGCUCAAUAAGCAGAUCAUCUGGAGGAGCCCUCUGUUAUUUGCCAAACUCCCCAAAGCAUCAGCAAGCAUUCCAUCUGCAGGAGAAGGAUGGAAUAUAUCCCUAUAAAUUGAUAAGUUGCAUUUCCUUUCUGUACAGGCAUUAAAUCCUUCGGCAAACUAUCCAGCAUUGUGCAACCUUCUCUCUGAAAACUGUAAGGUGCACACCUUCAACGAUGGCGAAUAAACAUACGAUUUUAUUACAAAAUGCCACUGCUCCUGGCAUGAGUAAUUUGUGCACCUGCAUUUUUAAAGUGUUUCAAAGUUUUCCCCCUUUGUGAAUUCUCUGGUAACACACAUUAUCUUCCCAGCUGCCACAAUAUGGUAUUUGCAGUCUGUGUCAUGUCACCCCUUGUUAUCCAGGAGCCACUGUUUUCAGAGCAAAUAGCAACUGAAAGUAACAACAGUCCGCUUCAGUCUGGGGGAACAAGAUAGUGUUACUUGAUGGCCCCGUGACAGGAGAUGUCUCUUUUCCAUGUGACAUCUGGGAUUCCAGACCUCACACGGGGUAGGGUGGGUCCAACUGGGGUGCAAAGAACCCAGAACUAUCUCUGAAACUUCUUUAAAUGUAACACAGAUUCAUCUGCCUUUUCUGAUUCCAGGCUCACCUUUGCAACAAUCUGGAUCUCUGAUAACUUGGUCGAGGAAAGAGGCUCAUCAGAGACUGAAUAUGAUUCUGGCCUAGCAUUUUCCAUUGAUAAUAUUAAAUUGAGAGGACUGAAGAAUUAGCAAGGUGCUUCAGCUACAUUGCUGCCUUCAGGAAGGCAUAGUACUCCUUGGGCAUUGCCUGCGGAACUACCUCCAAACUGGGUCGGAAAUAGAAAUUUCAAGUUAGUUUAGGCUUAGUAAUUUAAUUUUUAAUAGUAAUUCAGCAGGUGCCCAAAGUCAGCUCUGUCUAUACAAUUUUAAAGGGGGAAAAAUCCCUUGUGUUCCCUGUAAUCUCCCUGAAAUGUUCCUUGAUUCUCUCAGGCUCCAUGAAAUGCCUAAAGUGUAUAAUUCUCAGCGAUUUUAUGUAUUUGUACAUCUUAAAGUCAUAUUGUCCUUUUAAAGCCAUCUAUUUCACAAUUCUCCCAUUUGGAGUAGGCCUUAGAAUUUAAAGAAGAAGAAGAAGGAUUUAAUGUUAUAUCAACUUGCUCAUCAGAGACUAUGUUCAAGGGCAGUGUCAUACAGAUUUUACCAGGAAUUUAUUUAUCUGCUAUUGCAAAUGAAGACAGACACACUGCUGGUAAAAUGGCACUGCAUAAAAUCUUCAUUUUUUGGAAGCUUGUUUUUUCUUUAUUUUCUGUAAGAAUACAAUAGCCAGUGUAUUAUAAAGCAGUGGGGUUUUUGUUUUGCAGUAAUCUGGUUAAUACUCAAACAGAAAAUAAGGUUUAUUUGGGGGGGGGGUUCAUCGGCUCGCACAACUGAACAUGGAUCUAUACGCAUGAUAUUCAAAAUGUGGCAAAAAAGGGGGGAUAAGCUUAUAGCUGAGUGAUUGAAUUGGCAGUUGUUGGGGGUUUUUUUGAGUUGGUAGGGCUAUGGUUGCUAAACCUCACCUUUUCUCCAGGAUUUUCAGGCAAACCUAUAAAGUGCCUUAAACAUGUGCAGAGUGCCAUGGUGCCCUCACUUAGUAACAUCAGCUAGUCAAAAUAUACCCAUGAGUAGGUGGAGGGCUCCCAUGUGAGAUGGCGUGAUCCUGACUUCCAGGGAAAUUUGAGAUUUAGCUGCUCUCAUGCUGAAAUACAACCAUGCCACGUGGCAUAAAUGUUUCCAUAUUCUACUGAGUCCGUAACCAAACCUAAGCAUGUGUGACUGACACAAUAGCUGCUGACCACCUGCUUUACUUACACUGACCACAGCAUGCCCUCCAACAUGCCCCACUGUAAAACUGGGACGCACAUCUUUUGGGGCCAUGCUCCUGUGCAAGUAAUGUUACUUGUGCAAGAGCACGGUCUCCCAAAACAGGAUGUCCCGCUUAAAUUGGGACAGUUGAGGGGUAUGUCACAGCCUGGUACUUCACGUGUAUGGUAGUGUAAUCACAUAUCUAUAUGUCUUGAGUUUGGGAGGCGAUGCUUAAUGUUGGAGGAUGACAGAAUGCUGUAUUAGUCACUGUGACAUCCAGACAGAUGUGUGGUAGAGAUUCACCGACAUACUUUCAUUCAAGUAGGCCCACAAGAAAGCCAGGCAGUAAUAAGCAAUCUGCAAAGGCAGUGUCUCCCACCAGAAACCACUACUAGGCAUGUUGUCCAGGGGACAAACUACACAUUAUGUUAAGCACUUAAUUAGCAAGCUGGGAUUGCUUUUUACUUUGACAAAACAGUGGCCAUGGGAGGGGGUCAAGAUCUGACAAGCUGGGCAGCAGAGACAGGAGAGGGUAUUGAACCCUUUGCCCCCAUCUGAAGUGGGGAUUUAACCCUUUGCAUUGAUUUGCAUUUUAAAAAACUGAAUAUGCAAACCCUCCAAAUGUCCCUAUUUUUCAGGGACGUCCCUGAUUUAGAGAAGCCAUCCCGGUUUCUGAUUUGAUCCUGGAAUGUCCCACUUUUCAUUAGGAUGUCCCUAUUUUCAUUGGAGAAAUGUUGAAGGGCAUGGAGUCAUCUGAAGGCAAUCUUGUAUAGGGAAGGGUUUUUUUAAUGUUCAGUGUCUUAAUAUGUAUUUUUUAUAUGUUGGAAGCUGCCCAGAGUGGCCGGGGCAACCCAGUAAGAUGUGUGGGGUAUAAAUAGUAAAAUCAUCAUUAUGCAAUGGGUUGUCCCUAUUUUCAUCAGAGAAAUGUUGGAGGGUAUGCAUAUGCUAAUUUAUAUGUAUAAAUGCAGACUGAGAAAUAGUUGCUAAAAUUUAACAGAAAAGCAAUUCAUCUCACAAAACUUAGGAAGACUCUGAUCAGGUGACCAAUAUGCCUGUUUAGUCUGCUGUCCAGUUGCUAGUUGUUGAUGUACAACUUCAAGGCCUCUGAUCUUCCUUCAUCUUUACACUGGACUUUGACUGGACAGUCCUUCCAAUAGAAGACACCUCCAAGUAGAGGAUUAUACUCUGAAAAGUACAAAUGGCCACCCUUGCAUGCAUGUUUUGUACCAUCUCCUGCCUCACAGAGUCUAAGUCUAUUUUUCUAUUUAAAAAAAUAAGUAACCUGGAGGUAUGCUUCUCUCUCUGUCUCUCUCUUUUACAAAAAGUGAAACUCAGUACAUGAUGAGAUCACCUUCCCAUGAGACUCCCAUUUCAAUAACAAAAACUAAUGAACUGAAACACUGAACCACUCAGAGCUGGAGUCUCAGUAUCUUUCAUCCAGAUGGCAGAGGGGGCCUGGGUGGUCAGGUAUGCAACACAGAGAAGGGAAGCAGGGUCCAAAACCUCAGUCAGAUGGAGCGUUUAUAUGCAGCUCAACCUCAGACAGGGAAGAAAGGAGCCUAGGGUGAGUUUGCAGAUCACUACAAGAAGACAGGGUGGGUGGGUGUCUUAGUUUAAAUCGAAUAAGAGGAACAUGAUAGAGGUUUAUCAUGGAGAUCCUGGAAAGAAACACUGUCAUAACACUAGAACUCAUGGGCAUCCAAUGAAGAUAACUAUUAAAAGAUUCAGGACAGUCAAAAGAAAAUACUUCGUCACACAACACAUAGGAAAACUAAUUUGCUCCCACAAGAAGCCACUAUCUUGGUUGGCUUUAAAAGGGGAUUAGACAAUCCCAUCUUCAUUUAUGGAAUUAAUUACCUAAAUUGUGUAAUUUUGCCACAGUGGACAGCAAUAUGAAUAGUAUAGUUUUUGGCAGUAGGCAAAUUGCACAGGAAUGGAAACAUUACUUCAUGCAACAGGGAGGAAUGGAAAAUGAUUCCUUCUUACAUCCCUAAUCAGGACAUGCUAUUGAGCAGCAGGAGCGGAACAACCACCACGCAAACAUGUGGUAAAAAAUUAAGAAAUGGGUCCCUAAGUGCAUGUUUGGGUUAAAGGCGGGUGCUGGCUCUGAAAAAGUUGAAGGCUUCUGCUCUAGAAGGUCGCAAAUCUUCUCCUGAACAAUGAAGAAUCAGGUGCAGGAAGCUGGAGGGGAGGGGGAGGAAUCUUCCAAAACCUACUUGUAGCAGGUAAAUCUCCUUGAUUUGGGAGCCAUACCCCAGAAGCUCCCUGCACUCCAUCCUACACACCUAUGAUCUUCAGGAGGGCUCCUUGACCCCCCCCCCCCGAGAAGCAUUUAGGGGGCUUCAAGGGGGAAAGAAGAGAUGAAUAAAUUCCCUUCUAUGAAUUACCUUCUGCUGCUGGUUCUCAGGAUCCAAGCUAUUGCUUUUGUUGACAUACCUUCCCAUAAAAACUAAACUGUUUUUAUAAGUGGAAUGUGGAUGGGAGGUGAACAGAAAAUAUAAUAGCAGGUGGCAAAAACCAAAUACAGUAAAGAUUUUUUUUGUUUUGUUUUAAGUGCAGUUGUGUAGCUUUCAAACCUCAGAGGCCUUAAUGUCGUAGGUCUUCUUCUUGAACUUUAUCCGCCCUGGUUCAGUAUCACUAAAAGUAUAUUAAUGUCAAAGAUUGCUUGCGUAGAUUAUUUAUAAGGGCAUUCGCUUCAUAUUAGUGCUGCAUAAAAUGCGCGAGUUCAUAACUUGCCAAAAGCAAAUGCGGCUUGCUUCCUUGGAGCUGCAGAGAAGAGAACGAGCCGUUUGGCACGAGACACCUCUGCACAGAUCAAUAAUGGAAGCAUUAAGCGGGUCUCCUGUUUUAGAAGCAGUUCUUUAUUGGGGAGAUAUGUUUAUUCCACACAUUAACAAUACCUUAAGUAAAAUGAUAAAGAGAUGAAGAAGGGUCCGUUUUCUAAGUGGCACAGUGGGAGCUAUGCUCACAGGCCCGCUUGCUUCUAAAUGCUGUUUCCCUACUUCUUGUAAGCAUUUUCAAUUACUGUGGAUGUUUAGGCCCAAACUACAUGCGAUGCUUGGUUGCAGAUGUUUCUACCACCACCCCAAUCUUUUUUUUUUAAAAAAAACCCCCAAAGCAGCUAUUUAAGAGGCCGGUGUUUUGGCUUUUUUAUGAAAUAAAAGGUAUAUUGAGUGGUGGAGAGAGGCAGUUUCUUAACUCUUUCAUCUCUGGCCAUUUGCCCACUCAACAUCACCUCCCACCAGCUGUGUUUGGAAUUGCUGGAAUACCUUUGGAAUUGCCUGCCAUGGGGCUCUCUUCCACUACGGAGGCCCUCUUCUUAUCUGUUCCAGAGAGAACCGCCUUAGUUGUGGCGCCCAGAUUUUUGAAAUAGCUUGUAUAGAGAGGUGAGCCAGACCUCCAUGCUGCUCACCUUUAGGCAAGCAAUGAUAUUAUUUCAGUGAGUGUCUUCUUUAUUAGGUCAGUUUGAUGUCUCAACUCCCAUUUUUUUAUUGACUGCAAUUUGUAUUUAUUCUGCAUUUCCAAAGCAUACGAGUUUGCUUCUUAUUAUAAGUUGCCUUUGGUGCACUUUGAUAAGGACAGGAGGAAUAGAAAACAUUUAAACAAAUAAACAAAGUAGAAGUACCUGUAUCUCUUCUGACAUGGAGCAAAAAGCAGCUGCAGGAGCUGAUUUCAAUAGGAAAACAACCAGAAGUGAAAGUGUUAAAACAGCCCCUUCCUGUCUGCCUGCACUGCUGGUCUUCUGCCAAUUUUUUCACUUUUGUUUAUCUGUUUUUAAAUCCUUGUCUGUGUGGAGGGAAAAACCAACAGAACAUCCCAUGCAGUUUGGGUCCUGUUCUUUAACAAGCAGGAUUCAUACAAAAUCCAGUGGGGUUCAUAGUUAGGAAGCCAGAAGUCUGGCUCAUUUGAGUCACAAUACAAUGCGCAGGUAGUGGAUUCUGGAAACGGUUCUGGCAUGUAGUCUGCUCUCUGGGCCCCUCCAUAUGUCCUUGUAAUUUUGCAUUCAUGAUUAUUUGUGCUUAUGGUGGUAUUGGGACGUUAUAAGCAAUGCUGCUUUCAACACUACAGUGCUUGUAUGUGCAAAGGUGGAGCUGGUCCCUCCAGUUCAGAGGGAAUCCGCCAUUGCCGAUGGCGCCACCCCGGAAGUUUUUGGGUAUCACUUUUGGUGCACUAUAGUGCAAGAGUGCCCCCCCCCCCGAUGGCCAGUAAUGCGGCAAUGUUAUAGAAACAUAGCAGAACAAUGACAAAGAAUGAUGUGUGGAUGGUAUAAACCCACUACUAGUGCAUGAUUAUUGCAUCAGUGGCAAAUAAGACCUUGUUUUAAGGUCUUAUUUUGUUCUUAAGGGGAGGGGUCAGGGCUGCCGGGGAGUGGGUCCCAGCCAACAAAAUGGCUGGGGCAUGUUCCACAGAGGGGGAUGCGCUGGGACAACCGAUCUCAGUGAUCACGGGUAGGAGGAGGAGUUACGCUAAGACCAGACCAUGUCAUUACAGAGGAGGCAGGUUUAGUCGUUGUCUGAAGACUAUCCCUGCCUCCGGGUCUGGUCCUGACCGGACGGAUACUAGAAUCAGCAAGGGAUACCCACAUGACCUGAAGGUGCUGCUGUGCAAUGCCAGGUCAAUGAUUCAUAAGACCACUGCCAUCCAUGACUUGAUCAUGGAUGGAGGAUUCGACCUGGCAUGUGUAACAGAGGCUUGGUUGGAUGAAGCAGAUGGGCCUGUUCUUGCCGCUGCUUGUCCACCAGGUUUCUCUUACGCACAGCAACCCAGGCCUUGUGGGUGGGGAGGGGGGGUUGCAGUGAUUUUUAGGAAGUCACUAGUUUGCACCAAGCGUCCUAUUGGGAAGACCCAGUUCUCUGAGUGCAUGUUCUGGAAGUUGGGCAAUAGGGGCAGUACAGGAUUCCUUUUGGUGUACCGACCUCCCCGCUGCACCAAGGAUUCCCUGUCCGAGCUGCUUCAGGUCGUGGCGGAUGUUCUCCUGGAGACACCUAGUUUGGUUGUCCUAGGGGAUUUUAACAUCCAUGCCGACACGACCUUACAAGGGGCCGCUCGGGACUUCGUGGAAAGCAUGGCCUCCAUGGGGCUGUCCCUGAAUAAGUUUGGCCCAACCCAUAGCCGUGGACAUGCCUUGGACCUGGUGUUUACCUCUAUGGAUGCUGGUGAUCUGACACUAAGUAAAAGCGAAACGAAAGAAGUGCCAUGGUCAGACCACUUCCUGGUGCAACUUGACUUCUCCGCGACCCUUCCCCUCUGCAGGGAGGUGGGACCGAUUCGGAUGGUCCGCCCCGCCACUUAAUGGAUCCAAAUGGUUUCCAGAGAGUGGUAGGGGAUGCUUUAUCCCAUGUUGAUGGCCUUUCAGCUGAUUCCCUGGUGGCCCGCUGGAAUGUGGAGUUAACCAGGGCUAUUGACUGUUUGGCUCCGAAGCGCCCUCUCCGAUUGCAUGGAGCCCGGACAGCCCCGUGGUUUUCCACGGAUCUGAGGGCAAUGAAACAAUCGUUGAGACGGCUAGAGCGCUGGUGGCGGAUGACCCAUUCUGAAGCUGACCGGACACAGGUUAGAGCUCAAUGUCGAGCCUACCAAGUGGCGGUAGCGACGGUGAAGAAGACUUUCUUCACCACCUCUAUUGCAUCUGCAGAAAACAGCAGCAGGAGACUUUUUCAGGUGGUCCGCAAUUUAGCGGAACCACCUGCUACAUCGGGGCCCAGUACGGGCCGCAUGAUCUCCUGCAAUGAUUUUGCAAAGUUUUUUGCAGAUAAAGUCGCUCAGAUUCGGGAAGAGGUAGACGCCACCGUGGGAGCAGGGCCAGGGCGGGAGAGUGCUAGAGUCCUGUCUAGUCAAAUUGCGUGGGAUCAAUUUCAAUCCGUUACCUCCGAGGAUGUGGACAGGCUGCUUGGAUGAGUGAAACCAACCACCUGUCUCCUUGAUCCUUGCCCAUCCUGGCUUAUAAAAGCUAGCCGGGAAGGGCUGGGUGAUGGGCUUCGUGGGGUGGUGAAUGCUUCCCUCCGUGAGGGAGCCUUCCCAGACCCGCUGAAAGAGGCGGUUAUUAAACCGCUUCUUAAAAAACCAUCUUUAGAUGCAGCCACGAUGGCCAACUAUCGCCCAGUCUCAAAUCUUCCAUUCUUGGGCAAGGUGAUUGAGUGAGUGGUUGCUGAACAACUCCAGGCACGCCUGGAAGAAGCGGACCAUUUGGAUCCCUUCCAGUCGGGAUUCAGGCCUCAUCACGGGACUGAAACUGCCUUGGUCGCACUGGUUGAUGAUCUCCGGCGGGCUAGGGACAAAGGUGAGAGCUGUUUCCUAGUUCUGCUGGAUCUCUCAGCGGCGUUUGAUACCAUCAACCAUAACAUCCUUCUGGACCGUCUUGAGGGGCUGGGAGCUGGGGGCACUGUCAUACAGUCGUUCCGCUCCUUCCUCCUGGGCCGUGUUCAGAAAGUGGUGGUGGGGGAUGAGUGUUCAGACCCCUGGGCUCUCACUUGUGGGGUGCCUCAGGGUUCUGUCCUCUCCCCCAUGCUUUUCAACAUCUACAUGCAGCCACUGGGAGAGAUCAUCAGGGGGUUUGGGCUGGGUGUUCAUCAGUAUGCGGAUGAUACCCAGCUCUACCUCUCUUUCAAAUCAGAACCAGUGAAUGCGGUGACGGUCCUGUGUGAGUGUCUGGAGGCGGUUGGAGGAUGGAUGGCGGCUAACAGAUUGAGAUUGAAUCCUGACAAGACAGAAGUACUGUUUCUGGGGGACAGGAGGCGGGCAGGUGUGGAGGACUCCCUGGUCCUGAAUGGGGUAACUGUGCCCCUGAAGGAUCAGGUGCGCAGCCUGGGAGUCAUUUUGGACUCACAGCUGUCCAUGGAGGCACAGGUUAAAUCCGUGUCCAGGGCAGCUGUGUACCAGCUCCAUCUGGUACGCAGGCUGAGACCCUACCUGCCUGCGGACUGCCUCGCCAGAGUGGUGCAUGCUCUGGUUAUCUCCCGCUUGGACUACUGCAAUGCGCUCUACGUGGGGCUACCUUUGAAGGUGACCCGGAAACUACAACUAAUCCAGAACGCAGCAGCCAGACUGGUGACUGGGAGCGGCCGCCGAGACCAUAUAACACCGGUCUUGAAAGACCUACAUUGGCUCCCAGUACGUUUCCGAGCACAAUACAAAGUGUUGGUGCUAACCUUUAAAGCCCUAAACGGCCUCGGUCCAGUAUACCUGAAGGAGCGUCUCCACCCCCAUCGUUCUCCCUGGACACUGAGGUCCAGCACCGAGGGCCUUCUGGCGGUUCCCUCACUGCGAGAAGCCAAGUUACAGGGAACCAGGCAGAGGGCCUUCUCGGUAGUAGCGCCCUUCCUGUGGAACGCCCUCCCACCAGAUGUCAAAGAGAACAACAACUACCAGACUUUUAGAAGACAUCUUAAGGCAGCCCUGUUUAGGGAAGCUUUUAAUGUUUGAUGUAUCACAGUAUUUUAAUAUUCUUUUGGAAGCUGCCCAGAGUGGCUGGGGAAACCCAGCCAGAUGGGCGGGGUAUAAAUAAUAAAUUAUUAUUAUUAUUAUUAUUAUUAUUAUUAUUUUGAAGAAUCCACCCACGUGAAAAAGCACGAGUGUAGUGGGCCCUUUCGUGGAUCACCCCACCAUAAAAGGAAUUGCCCGGCGGGUAGAAGCUCCUUUGAUACAAUUUUGUAUCAGGCUUCAAAUGACUUAAGAGACAAGUAAGAGGUUAUCAGCACCCUGCAGGAUGGUAUUAUCUCCAUCAGGCUCUGCUACAUUAGACAAUUAAUAAAGAUGAUUGCAUCUCAGAGGCUAAAUUUGGUAUAUUACUGCACUGUGCUUGACUUCUACUACCCUCAUGACAAAUGAGUCAGAGGUACAGCCAUGGGGUUUUGAGGAAUAACUCUUUAUGCUAAUUAAUGGUAUCAGUAUACACAGGUUGAGCCUGAUAUAAUCAGUGCAACCGAUAAUGCAGGUAUAAAACACAAUUAACUAUUUGCAUAUACAUGACAACAGAUUUAGCAGCAGAGCAAAUCUUUGGCAGUAACACCCCACCCCACCAACAAAGCUUCCCUACAAGAGCAGGCACAACAAAACCGAGUGUUACAAACCUUAUGGCUGAAAUAUAUGAGCUGUGAUUUGGGAGGUUGCCAAAUUAAUUCAUUUUUCUCAUUCAGAACCUGCAUUUUUCUGACAAGAGCUUGGUACCAGGGAAUGUGGUUUGUAAUAAUUUGAAUCUAAAACUCGAAGCAAACCAAUUCAGUUGCUACAGAAAUGAGAUGGGGGAAAGUAUACAAAAUGUAUACAAGAAAUGCACGCACAAAAAAAGAAAAGAAAUAUUCACUGCAGUCCCUGAAAUCUGACUGCAGUUGCCACAAUCUAUAGUUUUAUGGUUUCUGUCCAUACUGAGCUCUUACCUGGAAGGACUACCCCAUCAAUGUUAAUGAAGGCAGCAAAACAGCCAUCAAGUUCUUGUCUAUGUAUGAAUCUGAUUCUCCCUCUAAAGAAAUGUUAAGCCUACGUGCAGGCCAUAUGUGAAGCUCUUCAUAAUGGCAAAUGGCGGCAUGGAAUUUUGUUAUCAUUUGGCCACCAGUUGGUAAACAUAACCUUGUCAGGAGGCCCCACGUGUGUUUGUGGUGCCAGUUACUUGAUUUAUGACUUUGAGUCAGGUAUGUGAUUCAGGACUCAACCCAUGCCUUUUUAAUACUCUCAGAAAAUUCAAUGAAAGAGGAAGGUUGAAAGAAGUUAGGGGUCCUCAGUGCUGGCCCAACACAGAGUUCCCUAAGCUUAGGCCAACACUUGGGGUGGGGUGGGGACUUACUGCACCAUUCGGUUCUAAUCCUUAUCUGCCUAUCUGGUGCCAGGGUCAUUCCUGGGAGAGGGAAGAGGGAAGAACCAUUGAGCCAUGUGUUAUUGUGCCAUUGCUAAGCUGCAACUAUUAAUGCUAGAUUUCCUUGGGUCUUUUUUAGUUAAGUCAGUCAACACCUGCACAAUUCAGCAACAGUGAUCACCUGUGGAACAUCUCGUGCCCUACUGGCGGAAGACAGCUGAGCAAAGCAUUCAGCAUGCAUGCUGCAACACCUAAGCACAAGAAUGUGAUUUAAAGGUAACGUGGGAUUUUAAUGCAGAGCUUUCCUAGGUUUAAGUCUCGACCUUAAUGGUAUAACUUGCAUUGACAUUUUUUCAUUUUGUUUUGACAUCAUAAUUGAGUCUAAUCUCCACAGACUUGCAUUGUGCUCUCACUUCAGAUUGUAAUCUUGCAGUGCAGUUUCACCCUAAGAGCAUUGUAGUGCUGCUUUCUCCAAAGUGUGCGUGGAAAUAAUUUUACCAUUGUAAUAUCACCUCAUAUUGGCUUCAUAACAAGGUCUCUGAAGAGCUGCACUAAAAUAAUUUGGCCACUAUAAUGACCUCACAAUGUCAUGAACCAAUUGCCAUUACAAACUCUAAAUGAGCUUGAGAAGGAACUUCUGUGCUGGCUCAUUAGCAACUGCAUUCUGCUAUGCCGAGCCUCUAAUUUAAGCCUUCCUUACUGCAUUACUGGAUGACCACAGCUCCAAAUUAGGGUAGUGUGGUUCAGCACCGCAUUUUUAUUAAGCACUUGUAGAGUGACAUAGGCUUUGCUUAUUUUUGUCAUUAUCAAUGGCCUGGAGAGAAUAAUGCUCGAUGUCUAACUUUACUUGAACAAUAUUAUGAGAAAUUAAUAGGAAUGCCCACACCUGAAUGUUGCUAGACUUAUCUGAUCCAGCAUGAAAACACAUUCAGAUCCAACUUCAGGCUUAGACUGUGAUGAGGUGUAGCAGACACCUAGACCCCAGUUGACAUUCCUGCAUGCUUUCAAAAUAUUCCACUGGCUGCUUUGGCCGAAAUCCUAGACCCGCUUACCAGGGAGUAAGCCCCAUUGAACUCAGCGGGUUUGCCUCUGAGAACACCUGAGAACACCAUAACUCCAUCUUCCUGUUUGAGGAUUGGAAGCUGGGCUUUGGACAAUGACUAGUUAAAUAAUAAUGAUGUUUAAGAUACCUUAUCCACAUAAAGAUAUCCUCUCCAUCCAACCAGGAAGUAAAAUUAACACCACUGCAUUGCACAUUUUAUUGCACUGAGUGAUUAUUAAGUAGAAAGGCUGAAUGUGUCUUCCUGGUGUGACCUGCUUUUCUAGGAAUUAUGGGGCUGUGGUAAACCAUGAUGCCAGUGUGCUGGAACAUUCACAAGAGCUGUGCAGCAUACCAGAAAUAUCACGCCACAAGUGCUGCUUUAAUUCUGUAAAAAAAGGUGGUUGUGUGAGUCUGCUCCAAUCCAAGUCUUUACAGAACAUCUGAGAAACAUAUUAUUCAUUUAUAGGUUUUAAAAAUCCAUUUUAUCCUCUUGUACUUGUCCCCCUUCUUUCUCCUUCACUAGCCUGUUUUCCCCCCUCUAGUGAUGUUCUUUUGAUGACAUGAGAAGUCACAUGGGGGGCUUCUUUAAUGAGUUGGGUGCUACUCCUGAGAAAGCGUUCAUUAUUUUAAUUGAAGCCUUCAUCGCUGGCUGACUUCCAAGUGGCCUACCAGAUGUCUCUCUCUUCACAAUGGUCGAAACAGAUUACAAUGUUCUUGUUCAUUUUUCCUUUCCUGACAGCCUAGUUUCAAAAAGGUGCCAGACUUUAAGGCAACAUGUUCAAAAGCUGGAGGGAUGUGUCUAUUCAGAACAGUAUGCCAAGGAUGAUGAAGGGACAUAUCACGAAAGCUCAGAUAUUUGCACUUGCAAAGGUAAGCUGGGAUUGCCAAUCAAUGGCCAUUUAUGUGGGUAGUGUUCUAUUCCUAGGAAGUUAAUUUGCGACUUACUGGCACAUUUUGGGCAAUUGUGCAGGGCUUUACAAACCACAGUUUAUGAAGCUGGGAAGAUGCAUUGGAGCUGAGCAUUCCUCCCUAUGCCCUCCUUUCUUACCCUUAUGUGCUGCUUCAGAACUUCAUUUCUGGCUUGUAUUAAGCCACAGUUGCCUGUUAUGUCUGAAGUGGGGGACUCUGGCUUAAUGUCAAGGCACCAAGAUAAUACGCCAAGGUAUGUUCCUCCUGGCUUAAUAACCAACAUGAAGCCUGUAUUCCUAGCUUGGAUGUUCAUUGCCCACAGUGAGGUGAUAGUGAGAAUCUGGUUACCCUUCCCUCUGAACAGCCAAGGGGAGUCAGGAACAGUAGUUGCAUCACAAGACACAGCAGAGGAUGGGCGGCAGCUAGAUAAUCAGAAGCGAGAUGUGGUGGCUGAGAACCUCUGGCUUCCUACUUCCAAGAAGUAUGAAUUGGCCAUACCUGUCUAUCUCUUACUGAGAUAUAUUGCCUGCCCUCCAAUCAACAGCAUAUGGCAUAAAAAACUACUGGAGAGGGAACUGGAGUUUUCACGUCUAUUUCUUGAACUGUAAAGAAUUGCCGUGCAUUGCUUGAGGGCAUCAUGAGUGGGGGUCCCCACCCCUUUUUGGUUGUGUUUUGUCUGACCUUGGGGGUGUGCAGUGCUGUCCUAGGUGAGGGACAGUGGGGAAGGGGUUGGAGUCUGACCGCUUUUCAGGUGGGAGUUGGGAAUUGGUACCUGAUGAACUAAGGUGAGAAUAUGAAUGUGACUGAGUAUUUGGGUGAAUGAUGUGAGGCCUUUAUUGGGGCUGGUAGAAUCCUAGAUUAGAUUUGGUUUUAGCCUCAUAAUUUUGGAAGCAGAGAGAUGGUAGUCUUUGUCUUCCACCACAUCUGGCUGCUGCAGGGGCUCUUAUGGAGCUGUUGGCGAAAUUUGUUAUUGGUCUUGGUGGAAUGGAAACCUCGGGAACAGUGAGAGUUAGUGGGAGUGUCCCAAGCUAAGAUCUAGAGGCAAGCAGUCUGGGGCUAGGUGAUAAACUGUAAUGGGCUAUCUACUCAACUGGGCUAUCCACUCAGCAGCUAAAAGAUAAAACUGUUCAUCUUCACUAGUAAAGCUGCCAACACAAAUCAGCAUGACCAGCAAUGUGCUAAUUAAUAUGGUUGCUAUUUUAAUUUGGUGUGGAAAUAUACAAUAUCCAUGUCACUUCAACAAAUAGUGUAUGUGGCUAUGAUCAGAUCCAUGCACACACAAUUUAUCAGACUAGGACGUGUGGGUUCAAAUCCCCACUUGACCAUGAAGCUCACUAGGUGACCUUGGGCCAGUCACUGCCCCUCAUCCCUACCUCACAGGGUUGUUGUGGGGAUUAAAUGAGGAGGGUGAGAGCCAUGUAUGUCACAUUGACCUCUCUGGAGAAAAGAUGAGCUAUAACGACAAUAAAUAAAUAAAAACAACCCAAGAUCUGUGAAGACAUACUCUACAUUUUUACGAUAACCUCUCACUUAUUUCUCAAGUCAUAAUACCGGUACUUACUCUUUCCCACAUGUUUCCUCACCCAUCGGCUGGGUGAGGACUGCAGGGCCUGCUCCCUUCCAGGGCCUUUUCCAACUGGCCCAGGGGGCGUGGCCCAGGCCCUCUCUCCCAGCUAUAAAGGGACUCCUGCUGCGGGGAAGCCUCGGACCAUCGGCUGGGUGAGGACUGCAGGGCCUGCUCCCUUCCAGGGCCUUUUCCAACUGGCCCAGGGGGCGUGGCCCAGGCCCUUAUUUGGAACAAACUUUUGAGGAAGUGUGGGAAGUGUUCUGCCAUUGCUUCCCUGUUCCAGGUGGUUAAUGUGCUUUAAAAUGUCCUCAAGCAGUUGGUGGCAAUUUAAAUUUUUAUUCCUUUUUUCCCCUUUUUUCCUUUGUUGGGGGUGGGUGGGUGAGAUGGAUAGUUGGUUGGGGAUUAAUUUUAGUAUAAUUGUUCUGUUCCUUUUUGUUGUUGUUGUUUUAUUGGUUCUGUAUAGUUUGUGUUUUGUUUUUAAGGGGCGGGAUCAGGGCUGCCUGGGAGUGGCUCCCCAGCCAACACGAUGGCUGGGACAAGUUCCACAGGGGGGGAAGCACUGGGACAUCCGAUCUCGGUGAUCAUGGGCAGGAGGCGGAGUUACGCUAAGACCAGACCAUGUCAUUACCGAGGAGGCAGGUUUAGUCGUUGUUUGAAGACUAUCCCUGCCUCCGGGUCUGGCCUUGACCGGAUGGAUACUGGAAUCAACAGGGGAAACCCACAUGACCUGAAAGUGUUGCUGUGCAAUGCCAGGUCAAUGAUGAAUAAAACCACUGCCAUCCACGACUUGAUUGUGGAUGGAGGAUUUGACCUGGCAUGUGUGACAGAGACCUGGUUGGAGGAAGCAGAUGGGCCUGUCCUUGCCGCUGCUUGCCCACCAGGUUUCUCUUACGCACAGCAACCCAGGUCAUGUGGGCGGGGAGGGGGUUGCAGUGAUUUUUAGGAAGUCACUAGCUUGCACCAGGCGUCCUACUGGGAAGAUCCAGUUCUCUGAGUGCAUGUUCUGGAAGUUGGGCAAUAGGGGCAGUACAGGAUUCCUUUUGGUGUACCGACCUCCCCGCUGCACCAAGGAUUCCCUGUCCGAGCUGCUUCAGGUCGUGGCGGAUUUUCUCCUGGAGACACCUAGUUUGGUUGUCCUAGGGGAUUUUAACAUCCAUGCCGACACGACCUUACAAGGGGCCGCUCGGGACUUCGUGGAAAGCAUGGCCUCCAUGGGGCUGUCCCUGAAUAAGUUUGGCCCAACUCAUAGUCAUGGACAUGCCUUAGACCUGGUGUUCACCUCUAGUGACGUGGGUGAUCUGACACUAAGUAAAAGUGAAACAAAAGAAGUGCCAUGGUCAGAUCACUUCCUGGUGCAACUGGACUUCUCCGCGACCCUUCCCCUCUGCAGGGAGGUGGGACCAACUCGGAUGGUCCGCCCCGCCACUUAAUGGAUCCAAAUGGUUUCCAGAGAGUGGUAGGGGAUGCUUUAGCCCAUGUUGAUGGCCUUUCAGCUGAGUCCCUGGUGGCCCGCUGGAAUGCGGAGUUAACCAGGGCUAUCGACUGUGUGGCUCCGAUGCGGCCUCUCCGAUUGCAUGGAGCCCGGACAGCCCCGUGGUUUUCUUCGGAGCUGAGGGCGAUGAAACAAUCGCUGAGACGGCUAGAGCGUCGGUGGCAGAAAACUCACUCCGAAUCUGACCGGACACAGGUUAGAGCUCAACGUCGAGCCUACCAAGUGGCGAUAGCGACGGCGAAGAAGACUUUCUUCGCCGCCUCUAUUGCAUCUGCAGAAAAUAGUAGCAGGAGACUCUUUCAGGUGGUUCGCAAUUUAACGGAACCACCUUUACCACCGGAGCCUUGUAAAGACCCCAAGAUCUCCUGCAACGAUUUUGCCAAGCUUUUUGCAGAUAAAAUCACUCAUAUUCGGAAGGAGCUAGACACCACCGUGGGAGCAGGGCCGGGGCGGGAGAGUGCUAGAGCUCUGUCUGGUCAAGUUGCAUGGAAUCAAUUUCAAUCUGUUACCCCCGAGGAUGUGGACAGGCUGCUUGGACGCGUGAAACCAACCACCUGUCUCCUUGAUCCUUGCCCAUCCUGGCUAAUAAAAGCAAGCCGGGAAGGGCUGGGCGAUGGGCUCUGCGGGGUGGUGAAUGCUUCCCUCUGUGAGGGAACAUUCCCAGAUCCGCUGAAAGAGGCGGUUAUUAAACCGCUUCUUAAAAACCAUCUUUAGACCCGGCCAGUAUGGCCAACUAUCGCCCAGUCUCAAAUCUUCCAUUCUUGGGCAAGGUGAUUGAGCGUGUGGUUGCUGAACAACUCCAGGCACGCCUGGAGGAUGCGGACCAUUUGGAUCCCUUCCAAUCGGGAUUCAGGCCUCACCAUGGGACUGAAACUGCCUUGGUCGCGCUGGUUGAUGAUCUCCGGCGAGCUAGGGACAAAGGUGAGAGUUGUUUCCUGGUUCUGCUGGAUCUCUCAGCGGCCUUUGAUACAAUCGACCAUAACAUCCUUCUGGACCGUCUAGAGGGGCUGGGAGCUGGGGGCACUGUUAUACAGUGGUUUCGCUCCUUCCUCCUGGGCCGUGUUCAGAAAGUGGUGGGGGGGAUGAGUGUUCAGACCCCUGGGCCCUCACUUGUGGGGUGCCUCAGGGUUCCGUCCUCUCCCCCAUGCUUUUUAACAUCUAUAUGAAGCCGCUGGGAGAGAUCAUCAGGGGAUUUGGACUGGGUGUCCAUCAAUAUGCAGAUGAUACCCAGCUCUACCUCUCUUUCAAAUCAGAACCAGUGAAGGCGGUGACGGUCCUGUGUGAGUGUCUGGAGGCGGUUGGAGGAUGGAUGGCGGCUAAUGGAUUGAAGUUGAAUCCUGACAAGAUAGAAGUAUUGUUUUAGGGGGACAGGGGGCGGGCUGGUGUGGAGGACUCCCUGGUCCUGAAUAGGGUAACUGUGCCCCUGAAGGACCAGGUGCGCAGCCUGGGAGUCAUUUUGGACUCACAGCUGUCCAUGGAGGCGCAGGUCAAUUCUGUAUCCAGGGCAGCUGUCUACCAACUCCACCUGGUACGCAGGCUGAGACCCUACCUGCCCGCGGACUGUCUCGCCAGAGUGGUGCAUGCUCUAGUUAUCUCCCGCUUGGAUUACUGCAAUGCGCUCUACGUGGGGCUACCCUUGAAGGUGACUCGGAAACUACAACUAAUCCAGACUGCGGCAGCUAGACUGGUGACUGGGGGCGGCCGCCGAGACCACAUAACACCGGUCUUGAAAGACCUACAUUGGCUCCCAGUACGUUUCCGAGCACAAUUCAAAGUGCUGGUGUUGACCUUUAAAGCCCUAAACGGCCUCGGCCCAGUAUACCUGAAGGAGCGUCUCCACCCCCAUCGUUCUGCCCGGACGCUGAGGUCUAGCGCCGAGGGCCUUCUGGCGGUUCCCUCAUUGCGAGAAGCAAAGCUACAGGGAACCAGGCAGAGGGCCUUCUCGGUAGUGGCGCCCGCCCUGUGGAACGCCCUCCCAUCAGAUGUCAAAGCGAUAAAUAACUACCUGACAUUUAGAAGACAUCUUAAGGCAGCCCUGUUCAGGGAAGUUUUUAAUCUGUGAUAUUUUAUUGUAUUUUUGGUUUUUAUGGAAGCCGCCCAGAGUGGCUGGGGAAACCCAGCCAGAUGGGCGGGGUACAAAUAAUAAAUUAUUAUUAUUACUUCACAUUCUUGUUGUUUGGUUGUUGUUUUGUUAUAUUGCUUUUAUGUACUACCUGCAAAGUAUAAAACUCAAUAUAUACAGUAAAAAAAUAAAAAAAAUAAAAGCCCAAGAUAAUUGAAAGAAAUGGAAAUUUGAAUGGAAGGGGCACCAAAGAUAUUCCUUACUCAGGGCACCAUUUAAUCUAAGGCCAGCCUUAUCAGUGGCCAGAGGAAGGAAGGGAGUGGAUGACACUUUGCACAUUAGGUAUGCAUCUAAGUUGUUUUGUGUCUGUACCCAAACAUGUAAAAUGUGAACGUGGCCAUGAAUGUGUCAUACAGAAGCAUGUGUCAGGGAGCUGUGAUUGCUGUAGCCCCUAGUUGCGUACACAAACUCAGUCUCAGGCAUGCCUAUGCACCCAAGUGUGAAAUGGUUGGGGGGCCCACUAGGGGGCGCAUUGGAAGAUAGCCGACAAUACCAUCUCUCCGACCCACACGGGGUAAUUAAGAGGCUGUUAUGGGAGUAGGCAGCCUCCCUUGUUGCCCCAAGGAAAUGGGGAACACUGCCCUUGCCUGCUGUGCCCAUAAAUCACCCCCUAAUUUGAAAGAAGGGGGUGAGGGCCCUAGGCAGAAUGCCCCCGUGUGGCCAUCGGCUCUCCUGGACGCUGUCUCUGAUCACACACUAGUUGCAGCAAUUUGGAAUAAUUAAUUACCAAAGAAGCAAAUGCACAUAUUUCAAGUGAAGAAGGGGAGUGAAGUCUGCUAAUUUAAGUGACCUCUGCGAAAGAAGACGACGGGCUGGAGAAACAGGAAUAUUUUACGAUGAAGAUACACCAAAGGCGGGGUAUGUUGACAACGGGGCUGAAUGGGGGAAACCUUUUUACUUUCCUUCUAUGUGAUUUACAAGAACCCCUCCUCAUUAGAACCGUCGGUUGAACUGACCCAAGCAGGAUGAUUAAGGUCUGUGUGGAGAUAAACUUUAACCAAAAGUAUGCUUUAUGGAGACCGAGAAGCAAUAAGAGCUUUUGGGAAUGGCGCAGCAAUUAAUUCGGAGUCGCCAUCUUGCCAAAGGAUUUGUAGCCGGGAGGAAGAACGGAUUUGUUUUCAGACUGCAUUCCUAGUGAAUCUCCUCAGAAGUUUUGAGAAAGGAGGCAGAUUCGUGAAGAUUAAUGGCGCUAAGACUGUUUUGAUGUAUGGAAGUGAUGUUAUAUGGAAAACGUCUGGAUAUGGCUACUGGAUAAAAAAAAUAAUAUCCACGCAGGAUUCCAAACUGUUCUAACCAGCUUGCAGAGACUAUCAGAGGUCACAAAGAGAAAGGAAAAAUAUAUGAAAAUAACAACAAGAGAUGUGGAAAAAUAAUAAGAAAGGACUGGAUAGUACUGUGAACAUCAUAAGGUUAGAUUUGUGGACAUUAAAACAGCAGUAAGAAGCAAGAAGUUGAUUGGAUCACUUCGGAACUGGAAAUAUGGGUACCCCCAACAAAAAUUUAAAAUUCGGCUGUGUAAUUUGAUGUAAUUUGGUUUGAUUUGAUGUGAUUGGUCGGUUAAUAAAAAAUUAUUCUUAAUUUUUUUUAAAAAAAGUGUGAAAUGGUUGUGUUUCUGGAAGACGUACAAAACACAAGUGUAGGGCAUAGCAGGUUCAGGGUUACCCUAAGGUGAAGCACAGUGCUGUGGUUGGCUCAGGGGACACUUUUGAGGUGCCAAAUUCUUGCUAUAUCUUUUUGCCGUGAAGUAGAUAUGCAUGUGCUCGGGACGCGGGUGGUGCUGUGGGUUAAACCACAGAGCCUAGGGUUUGCUGAUCAGAUGGUUGGUGGUUCGAAUCCCUGCAACAAGGGGUGAGCUCCCGUUGCUCGGUCCCUGCUCCUGCCAACCUAGCAGUUCAAAAGCACAAAGUGCAAGUAGAUAAAUAGGUACCGCUCCGGUGGGAAGGUAAACGGCGUUUCCGUGUGCUGCUCUGGUUUGCCAGAAGCGGCUUAGUCAUGCUGGCCACAUGACCCGGAAGCUGUAUGCCGGCUCCCUUGGCCAAUAAAGCGAGAUGAGCGCCGCAACCACGGAGUCGUCCGCGACUGGACCUAACGGUCAGGGGUCCCUUUACCUUAUAUAUGCAUGUGUGUGCAUGCACAAGCACAACUUUGGUUUUGCAUCUCAGGCGCCAGCAUGUCCCAGAAUAAGAAGGAUCUUUUCCCGCUACAGGAGCAUGAAUGCACUUCUAAGGAGAUGCUUCUGCUAGUGAUGGAUAACUCAGAGAAUUAAACUAUGAUUCCAUGCAUGGGGCAUAGUAUGAAACUCAGCCUUUUCAGCAAAAGAUAGCCCUAGUGCCAUUUAAGACAAAAGAGCAAGUUUAUUGUAUUAAGCAAGAGUCUUUCACAGGAGGAGGUGGCCCCUAAUUGUGUGAAUAGUUGUGCGGGUAUAAAGACCCUUGUACUGAUGAUUUAUCUGAAAGUUCUGGGCAUAUUAACUUUUGCUAAGAGCAGAGACUAAAAACUUUAUGGGGAAUGCUACAUACACUCCAAAGACCAACAAGAGAAUUUAAGUUAGAUGUGAUUAGUAUGAAGAAAGUUACAUUUAUUAUACUCUUAUGUAUAAUUGAUCAUAUGAAAGGCCUUUUGUAACUAUAAAAGAGACAGCACAUUAAAUUGUUUUACCCUGAGGAUUAUACAAAUUUGUGGAUAUCGGAUUGAAACACCAGCCUAUUGGUUUCAUUGCUAUGGUAAAUCAUUAAGAUGUUCUAUUUUAAUCAUAAAUCUUGGUAUCUAUUUAUUGUGAAUCAAAUAGCUCCUCCCAGCCUUUUGCUUUGCUUCAUCUGUCAGAGGCAGCCCAAGUACAAUCUGGUAACAACAGCAUUAAUUUCUAUUAAUAGAGAGUGUCUGUGUUCCUUUAAUAUGCAUGGCACAUAAUUUUAUAUUAUCCUAAACAUGGAGAAUUAUAGCUGAGAGGCCCAUCGUUUAUCACAGAAGAGGGUAUUGGGUUUUGGAGAUGAGGGGAAGCAUCCAGGGUUGAUAAGGAGAUUCAUGGCUUGCAGUCGUACAUCCAGGAAUGAUUUACUCAUUGCUGUUGUACUGAAGAAGUGUAGAUUGGGGAUACUGUCAGGCUGAUAAAAAUCGGGAGGGUAUGUUUGUGCUAUCCCCCCCUCCAAAUUCUCUUUCUUGGCCACAGGCAAUUUGGUCAACUGGAACUGUAAAGACCUUUUCAGUUCUGCUAGUUAGAAAAUAAAAGCAGGCAAAGGAAACACACUUUGCAAAUAUGAAGACUUCAAGUUAGAAUCCUCAAACAUAACCGUAGUGAAUCAUAUGAAGGAGCAAACAUGUUUAGGAAUUCAACACAGCGCAGAACACCUUGCAUCACUAUCUGCCUUCGUGGUUCAACCUGAAUACCACACCUUUACAACUAACUGGUGUUGAGUUGCUAUGUGGACAUCAGCCACCACUUCCCCCCUUUUUGUUGUCGUUGUUUUUAGAACAGAUUGCACUAAAUUGAUGCAGUCCUCUGCAAAUGACAGCUGCGGGCAAUCUUUCACAAUGGUAUUGCAGCUAAAAGGCUGCACAACGGUUUGUUAAGCUCUGUAAGGAGGAAAAUACAGUUCCCAGGAUUCUUUGGGGAAAGUGAUGUGCUUUAAAUGUGCACUGAAUAUGCUUUCAAUGCCUGGUGCGGAUCUGACCUGAGAUUUGUUUUAGAUAUGCACAUAGGGCAUUUUAAAUACAUACGCCUAAAAACCAAAAUGUGAGUGUGACAAAUGCCAGAAUCAUAGAGUGUAUCAUAGAGAUGCACUUGUUGGAAGUUGAGAUUGGAGAAAACUCCCCAUUGCACACUAAAAGGAUACCAGAGUUUGCCGUUUGUUAUUGUGUGAAGUGACCGUGAUAUUCACCUUUCUUUGUCAGUGGCUUCCAUAUUAUUCACUCCAUUCAGUUAUUGUUGCUUUAACCGCCUUCCUCCAAGGAACUGAGACUGGCAUAUGUGGUCACCCUCCCAUAUUAUCUGCCCCACAACCCUGCGAGGUAGGUCAGGCUAAGAGGUUGUGACUAGCUGAAGGCCAGUGAACUAUGCGGCUAGGUGGGUCACUCGCAGUGCUAGUGCAACGCUCCGUGCACCAUACUGCCCUACACUUUCACCCUUUCGGUAGUCACUUCCUCCAUCUCCUUCACCUAGAAUGUCAGCUGCUUCAGCUGCUGCAUGUAAGUCCUUAAUUUGUCCAGCUCCUGGGAGAGUUUGGGAGGUGGGAGGAAUCGUUCUUGGAGAAGCAAAGAGCUUGUUGCCAUAGGAGCAAACUCCAUAGGGCACAUAGACUCCUGUAUUGCAUUAGUUGUUAGGGAUGAUAGUGUGUUGGUAUAUUGCCUCUCACUCGGUAAAAACAUAUCCUGGGAAAGGCCAGGCAGGAGUUUUUUCUUCCUUUAGCAUAUGAUUCCAUGCAUGAAAAAGUUUCAUUGUGCACAUUAGAGUCCCUGCAUCUAAAGCAGGGGAGAUAUAUAUAUAUAUUUUUAAUUGAUGGCAGCUGGUGUGGUGUACAGACAGCUGGGCCGGGAAGAUCUCAGUUCAAAUCAAGCCACGGUCUUUCAGCAUAACUACCUAGCAGGGCCGUUGUGAAGAAAAUAAAAUAAUACUAAUAAUAUAAAGAGACAGACCCAGGUAUGCCACCUGACGCUUACAGGAGGAGUGGUAGGGUACAAAUAGGGUUGCCAACAACAGCUUGAUCUGCAGAAAUGAAGCUUUUCAUAGCAAGGAAAUGCGUACAAUCGCCUGCUAAUAUCUGCAUGUUACACUGCAGCGAAAAAGCGCAGGAGUCACGUCUGUGAAAUAGCAGGCACAAAUGUAACACUGUAGUGUACAGUAAUAAAUACAUUUAACUAGUCUGGCUGUAUAUUUGAAAAGGAGGGCUGUGAAAAAAACUGACAAGGUCAAGAGAAGCUUUCUGGGGGAUUUUGGGUGGAUAGUGUGGGGUGGGGAGGGGGAACUGAUGGAGGUGAUAGUAGUGAUUCCAUCGGUGGUGGAGGGAGAGAAAUUGCCAACCUUAUUACAAUCCCUCCAGCUGCAAGCUCUUACAAGAGCCCCACACAUGCUGUUUUAGGGCAGCUUGACAUGAAGAGGUGGCUGCUGCCGGCUUUUGUUAAGAACUGUCCCCUUUGCAGGGCUGAGGGUUCCCCACCCCCACCCCCCGCAAAAAAAAAGAGGGCCGGAUGAAAAUGCCAAGAAUUUCUCUGCAGUCAAACUUGUGUAUUUCACCCGGCCCUGCCGAUGUUAGUGACAGAAUACUGCUGUUUCUCUUAAAGGCGGAAAAAUACAGCGCCACCAGCCCUCAAAGGAUCUCUGUCACGUGCUUACUUUAUUGCUCUACCUUUGUGCACAGUAAGUUGCCACUUAGCUUCAGUUGCUGUUCUUGACUGACAUUGUUAUUUGUCUUGUACAUUUCAGAACUGCUUUGUAGUUAGCCUGGGAAAUUGAGAGUACAUAUGUGGUUAAAAAUGGGCAAGGGGGGCGGGCGGGAGCAGUGAAAGAGGUGAAGAAAACGCCACUAUGUUCCCAUUAGUGCCUCUGCCAUGCUCUCCAUUUUCCUAUUGUCUCCUUCCAGAGCUUUUCUGCUUAGACCGAGACUUCUGUGAUUGGAGUAUUAAGUUGAAAAACCAGCAAGAAAGAAGGAUGUUUCUUGAAAUGCUCUAAUGGCCAAAGGGGUGGGGGAGAAGCCUACCAAUGUAUUAUUUAUUUAAAUUUAUAGUCCAGCAUAUGCUAAACACUUGGGGCAGGUAACAAAUGGGUGGAGAAAGCAUAAAUAAAAACAGGAUUAAUAACCAAGCACAAAAAUGCAUUAAGCCCCACACAACUCUCAGAGGUUGCCUUGUUUGGAGUUGCAAAGGAAUUUUUUACCAGGUUAUUCUGAUUAGUGAUUGUGCAGUGAUUUUGCUUCCUCUGGAUGUGGGUUCCCUUACUCCAAUAAUCUUGAGAUAAGUGCUUUUGCUGUUAUGCAGGGAUCCUCUCCUUCCUGCUACAGCACACUGGGAUCUGAGUUGCUCUGUCGUCUGCUGAGGUGUACAAUAUAGGUUUGGGCUGUAUAUGUUGGUCCUUUCCAGUUCUGCUGUUCUAACCAAUCAGUUGUGUGUUGUUUUAGAAGAUGAAGCUAGGAUCAGCAACGUGAAUAGUGAAGUGGGAAGAGCUUGGCUGCACAUUGCGCCCCAAGAGCUUCCUACCUUGGUUCUCAGUUCUGAUGAUCCAAAUACACCACGCAAGUGAUGCUACAGUUCAGGGGCAAGAAAGCGAUUCUAAACUAUUUGUGCCGUGCGGUUCACCUUACAAAUAAUUAGGGGUGUUAGAAAUGCAUUAUUAGACUAUGGAGAAAUUGCCAACAGCUUCUAAGGCAAGUAGGUCAAACAUAAAAGAAAACACUUCCAUUUGAUUAGGAAAUCAGAUUUGAGACUUGGCUUCACCCCUACAUAUCUGUUGUUAUUCCGCACUCAUGGGAGUGACUUAAAACAGAAAUCUGUUUCUGGAUAUAGCCCACAAUAUGGCCUUGCAUCAAUUGAAUUCUUAUGAUUUAUUUUUUUCUGCAUUAAAAAAUGAGAUGGAAUUGGCCCAGCUAUUGUUCCUAAAUAUCAAGAUAGACUUUUGCUUCACCACCACAGAAGAGCCAACUACCCAUCAAACACCACUUUUAUGAAGCGUCUCAAAAUGUCUAGUCUGUCCAACAACCAUUGUGUUUGGAUAAAUUCUGAAGGCUGCCUUCUGGAUUUUCUUUUCAGAGACAGGGAACGUGUGGGCCUCCUGCAGAUCAGCCAACUCUGG